GUGUGUGUGGGUGCGUGCGUGUGUGUGUGCAUACUAUAUCAACCCCCAAACUUACCUCAACGAAACGCAGUUCCAUCCAGCCCCCACCCACCCCAACCACAGUGACUAGUCGCACCGACCAAGUCACACUGGCCAGUGCUUAACCGAGACUCAACCAACCCCAACCACCCGUGCCAACCACCCCAACCGACCUCAAUCCAACCCCCACAGGCCAUCAAGGAGAUGCACCCCAAGUCCGCCUCCUUUGCGCGCAUCGCCACCAUUGCCCGCGAGCUGAGCGGCCGGCGCCCCGGCGGCGGCGGCGGCGGCGGCCCCGUGAUCAGCAGCGAGAUGGCGGCGGUGAUGAAGGAGGUCACGUGCCUCAUUGAUCUGAGUCAGCACCCCAACGUGAGUAGGCGGCGGGAGACAGGAGGCGGGGGAAAGCGAGGGGAGGGGAGGGGGAUAGCCUAAACCCAAGGGAGAGUGUGCACCAGCUCGGUAGGGGCUCGGCGGAACGCGUGACGCGGGGGCAACGUGCCUUGACACCCACAUGCUGACGUGUGCUCCCCACGCAUCCCGUUCGACCCCAACCCCACCAACCCCUCUAACCCCACCAACCCCAAACCCAACCCCUUACCCCACUGCCUACUUAGCCCCCACCUCACAUUCCCCUGCUUGCAUCCUGUUCCCAGUGUUUCAACCUUGCAACCACGUACCCGACAACCUACCCACAACCCACCCCACAACCUACCCCACAAUCUCCCACCCCGCCACAGAUCGUCCGCUUCAUCGGCGUGUGCCUGGAGCCGCCCCGCAUCGUGACCGAGUACUACCCCAAGGGCAGCCUGUUCGGGAUCAUUGAGAAGGCCAGGUGCGCGAAGAAGGGGGGGGGCAGGGGAGCAGCGGAACAGGAGGCAGGGCGGGGAGGAGGCAUGGCGGGAAGGAGACAGAGCGGGGAGGGGUUGGUACAGGCGUUUCUGUAAUGGAGGUGUGUGUGUCACCAAUGCGAUACUGUUGGCGUGCGUAGAGGUGCUCGAGCAGGUGUCAGCACUUAGCACGUUGACACCCCCCCCCCAUGCUGCCCUUCCAACCUCGCACACCACUCCCUAGCUAAUCAUGAGUAUAACCCUCACCUCCCGCGCCCCCCCCCCCGAUGCCACCCCGCCCCCAGUUCCUUAACUGAUCAUGAAUGCAACCCCACGAUGUAACCCCCCCCCCAACCCCCCAGGGACGAGGGUGAGUCGGGCGCGCUGCGUCAGCUGCAGUGGCUGGGGCGGCUGGUGAUGCUGCAUGACGUGGCGGCGGGCAUGGCCUUCCUGCACGACAGGUGCGGAGGGAAGGGAGGGGAGGAAGGUGGGGAGGGAGAGGGGGAGGGGAGGGGGGAAAAGGGGGGGGAAGGGGGAAGGUGGGGAGGGGGUUGUAAAUACCAGCCCAAACUAAGGGGGGGGGAGGGGGAGGGGGAAGGUGGGGCGGGGGGGGGUGAGGAGGGGAGGGGGGGAGAGGGUAGCCAGCCGUUCAUGGAAAACGGAGUGAGGGUAGGUGGGUUUCACCAUUCCCAAUAAGAGACACGAAAACGCAUGACAAGGGGCGGUUGUAUGCCCGAGCCCAACGAGUCUGUCCCCCCGGGGGAGGGGGGGAAAGGGGUCGUCAGGCCAGCGGGUUGCUGGGCUCUCAUCAUGGUUGGCUGAAAGGGUGGGGCUGGGGGCCUCUCCACACGCGAGAAUGGCGGAAGCUGGCCGGGUGUGGGCGCGGCGUUGGCGCGCACCUAUUCGCAAUGUUCUGAUGAUGCUGUCAUAAGGCCGCGACCACCCAACGCCCCUGCUCCCUCCCCCUCCCCAUACACACACACCUCAGGAACUACGUGCACGGCGACCUGCGCUCGCCCAACGUGUUCGUGGCGCAGGACGGCCACGCCAAGGUCGGCGACUUCGGCUUCGCGCAGCUGCUGGGUGAGGCGAACGAACGAUCUAUGUGCUGGCAGUACUUUUAUUCAGGCAAACUGUUGAAUAUGGCGAUAGCCAAAAGUCCAAACUGCCCUCGAGCUCGAAAAAUUAGUAGUCAUGUCAGUGCAGAGCAGCCGCGCUCACACUCAUAGGCACUCACAGGCAGUACUUUCAUAAUACAUAACAUGGCGAUUGGCGAAAAGGAUAUAUGUACUGCACCGCGGUACUGCGGUGCACGGGCAACUUUGUUGCCCCGCCCACACUCGUGCAAGUUGCUUCUCGUGCGUGCACGCACGCUUGCUUCUGCCGCUGCCGCUGCCGCUGCCGCUGCUGCACCGCCGCCAUCCCACACACCUUGCUCCUGUUUCUGCAUCUGCACGGCCACACAGCAUCGCAGCACAGUAAUAGCCCCACUUGUGGCUCGUGCAUAGACAACACACAACUCCGCCCUCACGCUUUCAAUCGCUGCUUCUGCUUUUCAUUCUGCACUCCCAUGCCCACCACCAUGCCCCUCCCCCCUCCCAUACGUGUUGUGGCUUGCAACUACCGCAUCUUCCUCUUCCUUGGAAUAAACUACCCCCUGUGCUCCGCUCGUUUUAAUUGGUUUUGGUUUAGUUUUAGCUGGUAUUUACAAACCCCACCAUGCCCCGCUAGUUUAGCUUGGUUUGGUUCGUUUGGGCUGGUAUCCACAACCCCUCCCUCCCUUCCUCACCUCCCCAACUUCACCCCUCUCCCCUGCAGCCGGCCCUGACGCCGAGAAGGACAGUGCUGAGCAGCAGGAGGCGCGCAUGACCAACCCACGCUGGCUGGCACCGGAGGUCAUCCUGGCGCAGAAGAGCAGCCAGGCGGGGGACGUGUACAGGUGCGGGGUGGGGCGGGUGCGGGGUGGGCGUGAGGUGGGUGCGGGGCGGGGGCUUAGGGGUGGAGUGGGCGUGGGGUGGGGGGUGGUAUGGGAAAAAGGGGUGGGAUGGGGUAGCCUUUCAUGUGGAGAACGGAGUUGUUAGAUGACCAGGAUGAAGUGUGUGUGGGGCGGGGGGAGGAUACAAGGGGAUGGGGGUUCGGGGGUUUAUGCACGAAAGAAGCAUGGAAGGUAGGGGCGUGAGGAGUGUUCGAGUCCGGCCAGGGUCCGUCUCGACCCCUGACAGCCCUCUCCCACCUGCCAGCCAACACCAAAACAAAUACGGUACCAUGAACACAGAUAAUUGGUUUUCUGACGGCCCAUGCGACCAAACCCCAUCAAACUCCACCCCUUCGCCUGGCUGCGGCAGUCAGGCCGCCUGGAACCACCCUCCAGUUUACAUACCUUAAGCACACAAUCACACACAAACGCGUGUGUGUAUUCCCCUGCCCCGCCGUGCACGCGCGCAGUUUCGCCAUCAUCAUGUUCGAGCUGCUGACGUGGAUGGUGCCGUACGAGGGGCUGGAGGGGCUGCAGGUGAUCCUGCUGCACUCCAUGCACGCGGCGGAGGGGCAGCCGCUGUUCCGGCCCGACCUGCCGCCGGACGCAGAGCUGCCGCAGGUGUGGGCGUGUGUGUUUGUGUGUGGGGGUUGCAGGGAUGUUUGGAAAAGCGGUACAGGAUGCACUGAAGACUGGGGACGAAGUCGUUACCACAUUGUGGGGGUGGGGGGUGGGGUGGGCGGCUGUGUGUGUGUGUGUGUUGUGUGUGUGUGUGUGUGUGGGGGGGGAUAGCCAUCCAUGGGAUGGUGGGGGGGCUGUGUGUAUGUGUGUGUAUGUGUGUGUGUGUGCGUGUGUGUGUGUGUUUGUGUGUGUGUGUGUGUGUGUGUGUGUGUGUGUGUGUCGGCGCGGGGGGAAAGGCCGGGGAAUGCAGAGCUGCCGCAGGUGGGGUGGUGGGGCGGUGGGAGAGGGGGUACGCCCGAGCCCAAGGAGUAGGUCCCAUGACGACGGGGGGAGGCCCGGGGGGGGGGGCGCCAUGAGGGGUGGUGGGUGGGUGGGUGGGUAGUCACGCGAGCCCAUUGCCACGAGCUGGCACCAUGGGAAGCGGCGUACGCCCUCCCACGGCCUCGUGUAGCUAAUCAUGAAUAUACGGUAAUAUGUUCGCCUUCAGGUGUCUCGGCAGAGCGGCAGCCUGUCCGCCUACAAGCAGCUCAUGAGCGAGUGCUGGGCGCAGAGGCCCGAGGACAGGUGCGCGGGCGCGAGAGAGGAGGAGUCAGGGCGUGGGAGGGAAAGAAGAGGGAAGGAGGAGGGAAGGAGAAGGGGGGGAGGAGGGAAAGGGAGGGAGGGAAGGAGGAGGGAAGGAGGAGGGAAGGAGGAAGGAGGAGGGAAGGAGGAGGGAAGGAGGAGGAAGGAGGAGGGGGCCGGGCUUCUGCCCCCCGCCCCCAUGAUUGUGAUUUGAUCAAUCCGUUCUCCAGGAACGGCUACCCCCCACCCAGCGAUUCCCAUUAACUGCACUUCCAGGUGAAUGUACCUCUGUACCUCCGGUUGCAUGAAUGGCUACCCUUUCCUUAGCUAACCAUGAAUGUAGUCCAUCCCCACCUUCGCGCUUCUGGGUGAAUCACUCCGUUGAACGACUAUCCCCACCCCCAAAACAAACCACACACAGGCCCACCUUCAGCAAGGUGGCCACCCGCCUUCAGACCAUCAUCCACUGGGAGCAGGCCUUCAGCCACGUGCGCCUCAUCAGCGUGUCGGCGGGCAGCGGAGGAGCGGCGGCGGCAGGCGGCGGCGGCGGCGGCGGAGGACUGCAGGGUGGGUUGCGGAGGUGGACUGCAGAAUUGGGUGCGGGGUUGCAGGGCGGGUGCGUGGGAAGAUGCGUUCGCACCACCCGCCGUCGUUCUUCAUGCAUUCCUCCUUCCGAACAACACCUCCGCUAGUUUAGCUUGGUUUGGUUUGCAACCGGCCAGCCUGGUAUCUACAACCACCCCACCCCCUCUUCUCCUCUCCACUGCCCUCCUGAAUGAACUGCCACCCCAUCCCCUUUAGUUGGGCUGGUAUUGACAACCCUCCUCUCCCCUCCCCUCCCCUCCUCUCCUCUCCCCUCCUCUCCCUCCCUCCCUCCCCGCAGACGGCUCGGCGCGCAGUGUCACCAGUGCCCUGCUGACCGCCGCUGCGNNNNNNNNNNNNNNNNNNNNNNNNNNNNNNNNNNNNNNNNNNNNNNNNNNNNNNNNNNNNNNNNNNNNNNNNNNNNNNNNNNNNNNNNNNNNNNNNNNNNCGGCGGCAUCAGCCGCGGCGUCAGCGGCGUCUACCCCAGCCUGCCGCUCGGCGGUGGUGACGUGUUGACCGUGGAUCUGCUGAUUGCGGACGCCAGCGGCACCCGCCGCAUCAGCGGCGCCGCCAGCCUGUCCGCCGGCAUGCGCAGCCGCCUGAGCAGCAUCGCCAGCGGCCUGGGCGCCGCAGGCAGCGGCGGCGGCGGCGGCUUCGGCAGCGGCAGCCCUCGCGGCGGCGUCGGCCCCAGCCGCGCCAGCGUCAGCGCUGGCGGCGCCGCCGAGGCGCUGCCUGCCGGCGGCGACGUCGACGGCCCGAACGGCGGCGCCGCCGCCGCCGCCGCUGACGGCGGCAGCGGCGGCGGCGGCGUCAUGUUUGGCGAGGAUGGGCAGGUGCUGGGUGUGGCGGCGGCGGAGCGGCCGGGGCCGACGCCGGCGGAGGAGGCGGCGGCGGCGGUGUUGCAGCAGGUGGUUGGGCCGUCGCGGCGGAUCACGGCGUUGCAGAUGGAAGACACAGGGCAGGUGAUUCUGCUGGUGCAGCAGAGCGAUGGAGAGGAGGAGGAGGACGGCGGGGAGGAGGCGGGCGGCGGGGCGGAUGAGGAGGGCGAGGGCGAGGGGGAGGGGGAGGGCAGCGGCGAGGAUGCAGAGGGGCGGGGCAGCAGCCGGCGGCGCGCCGAGGCGGAGGAGGCGGCGGAUGUGGUGGGCGAGCUGCCGCAGCUGCUACAGCAGCUGGUUAGCUCUCCGCGGCCGUUGGCGGCGAGUGCGGUGGUGCUACCGCCCCUUGGAUCCGACGGCGCUGCUGCUGCGGCGGCGGCGGCUGCAGCGGUGGCGGCGGCGGCUUCGCCGGACGGCUCGGCGUCUGUGCCGUUGCCCGGCAUGCCGACGGCGGCGGCGGCGGCGGGGGCCUGGCGGCUCGCCGGGCGCCGGCAUGCGCGUCAGCGUCUGCGGCCCCGACCGCAGCCGCCGCGCUCGCAGCAGCGGCAGCGGCGGCGGCGUGGCUGUGGCGCUAGCCGCCGUCGGCGGCGCCCCUGGCUUCAGCGCGUUCGGGCAGCCCAUGGCGGCGGCACAGGUCAGCACCGGCGGCAGUAGCAGCGUCAGCGGCGGCGCGGGCGGCAGUAGCGAGCGCAGUAGCAUGAUGUCGCGCGGCCGCCCCAGCGGCCGCUACAGCCUCAAGGCCAUGGCGUCGCUUGUGUCUGCUGUGGAGUCCAUGCCGCAGGAGGUCAAGUCGGCGUUGCUGUCGUGGCAGCCCUCCGCCGCCACCACCGCCUCCGGUGGCGCGGCGGCGGCGGGCGGCCCGCACGCCAGCGCGAACGGCAUGGGCAUGAGCUUGGGCGUGGCGGCGGGUGGCGGCUACAGCUACAGCUCCGGCGGCUACAGCUACCCCUCCUCGCACCCCUCCGUUGGCGGCGGCGGCGGCGGUACCAGCGCCAUGCAGUCGCCCACGACGUCGGGAAGCGCGCAGCUGCCGGCGGCGGCGGGUGGCGGGGCGGCCGCCGCCGCCGCCGCCGCCGCCAUGGCGGCGGCUGCCAGCAGCGCUGCCGGCUUGUCCUCCAUGCCGGGCAGCCGCCGGACCACGGGCCAUCGCGACACGCGCAGCAGCGGCGGCAGCAGCAUCGGCCCCUCCGCUGGCGUCAGCGGCGGCGGCGCGCCCCUGCCGCCCCUGCCGCCGCUGCCGCCGCCGCCGCCAGGCACCUCUCCCGCCUCUUCUCCGCUUCAGGCGGGGCCGGCUGGCGCCGCCGGCGCCGCCGGCGCGCCGCGCCGCCCCGGCGACGACGAGCGGCGCUGGAUGAGUGACUGCAGCGACGGCACCGCCGUCACUGCCACCACCAACGCCACCACCGCCACCACAACCACGGCGCAGGACCUGCCGCGGAGCGCCGCCACCAGCGCCGGCGGCGCCACGCCGGGCAAGGUUUACCCGGCGGCGGGCGCGGCGGUGGCGGCGGCGGGUGUGGGGACGGAGGCGGCGCUGGUGGCGGCGGCGGUCAGCGGCACGCUGCAGAGCCCCUGGGCCGACACGUCGCUACUCGCGGCUAUGGGACUGGUGGAAGAGGCGACGGAGGCGCCGGCGCCGGCAAUGGCGGCAGUAGCAAAGCGGCCGGCGACGGCGGCGCCGCCAGGUGGGGCUGUAGCAGCACAGGUGGCGGAGCUGCCGAACCCGUUUUACAACUUCCUGCCCGCGGAGGCGUUUGGCGAGGGCGGCGCAUCGUCAGCGGCAGUAGCAGCGCCGCCUGCGUCAGCAGUGGCAGCGGCUGUAGCUACAGCUGCAGCCAAGUCGCCUACGGCGGGGGGCUUGGUGAAUGUGGUAUCGAUGCGGGCGUCUGCGGCGGCACCGGCGCCGGCAGUAGCAGCAGUUGAGGGGCCGGCAGUACUGGCAGUAGCAGUAGCAGGCAGCGGCGGCCGGCCCAGUCUGAUGGCGGAGGGCAACCAGCCGCAGACCUACACGCCGUUUGCGGGAAUUGACUUUUCGGACAUGACGUAGUUGGUGCGUGGCCUGUUUAUUUCACGUCCGCCGCAGUGUUUGCAUGUCUGGUGGGGCCAGACGGGCAAGCCGCUGCUGGUCGAAAAGAAACGCUUACUGGGACAAGAAAAGUGGUUUUGCCUCGCAAGGGAAAAGUGGUCCAAGCCACGUCUCUAGUGAGCGCCUACCUGCACUUCUGCAGUCCCCGGCAAGAUUACCAUGCAAGAAUGCAAGCCCAUCUCAAUCAAUAUUUCAGCACUCCGAAGCCGAGAAGGGGGAGCGGGGAAGGGGAGGACAGGGGUGGGGCAGGGGAAGGGUGGACAUGCGCAGGAGGACGAAGAAAUUGAUUGGGCGCUCGGGCUGUUCGCCCGCCACUGAUACUUCUCCCUAUGGCCCCCUGCCCCAUCGCUGCCUACGGAGUGGCGACCAGCGGAAUUGCUUGCCUUACACUAUACUACUGCUAUCCUCUGAGGACUUUCUUUCAAGCGAUGGCCGCUGGGCGUAAGCCCGCCUUUUUACUUCUUAACGGAACCAUUAUUGACCAUUACUUUCCUAGCGACACAAUAUCUUAAAUGGAUCUAAGCCAAGGAAGCCAUGAAAGAACGAUUGGGCGUGAACUCAUGCCGGAACAGUGGGGCCAACGGCUCCCACCCUGAUAUAUGGCGUAGGUAAAAUGUUAUAUUGCAUAACGAUAGUUUCGGUUUCUCUCUAUUGUUUGUGAACGUGGACUUGAGUCGUGAAGAACCCAAAACCCGGACUUGUGGGUUGUGCACUAAACCGGAUUAUUGACGUCAAUAUUAAAGCAAGUGACUAUAACUUGACUGCUUAGGAUUUAGCAUGCGCUUGAAUCUGCGCUUUGUGUCCUGAAAGGGACACUUCAGAGCCUUGCUCCGCCUGCGCUCUGCUUGAAGCUGGAACAACUCAAGUUGGUUCCAUGGGCUGUGGCGCAUCGUCUUCGAAGGCCCAGGUAGGCGUUAGGCUCGGACAUUCAUGUGGGGGGCCAUGUGUAACGUAGUGCGCGAGCGUUGAUGAAAGUUGUCCCCAGCCUGCUCGGUCAUUUAAGCGCAGUGAGCAUACACGCACCCAAGCAACUGGCCAUGUUUGACCCCAAACCGCCCACCCGACAGCCAUGUCUACGGGCUUCUCAGGCUGCUGGCGUUCUAGCCCCGCAAAAGCGAACUCAGCAAGGCGAUGUUGCAGGCCCCGUGCCGGACACACCCACCUCCGCUGACAGCAACGAAGGCAAGCGCACAGGUGACCCCAGAACCCGUGCGAAGGCUAAGGCGCCCGCCACCAUUGCCACCAACAAUGCCAGCGGAAUUGCGGUGAUCAAGCAGAGUCCCAUUGAGGUUGGCAUGGCGAAACACGGCGUUGCCGUGCUCGGGGUGCUUGCCGCCGGCGUCGGCUGCAUCCCCGACCCCCUCGGCAUCAGCAGCGCCGUGAGCAAUGUCCUAAGCCUGAUGCAGCAGCGCGCGGAUGGCGCCGUCAGCAACACCAACAACUGCAAGAAGCUGCUGGAAGCCGCAGAUUGGAGCCAGCAGUGCCUGGCGGAGGUACAAGCCGCGCUGUCGUCGGAGCGCUUGGCGGAUGCGGGGCGGCGGGCGCUGGACGAGCAGCUGCAAGCAUUAGAGGUGGCGCUGCGCGACGCUUGCAGCUUCCUGGCCGAGUUUGGUGACAAGACAUUCUUUGGGCGGCUGGUGAGUUUGUUGGGAGGGAGGGAGGGAGGGAGGGUUAGGGAGGGAGGGAGGGUUAGAGGGAGGGAGGGAGGGUUAGAGGGAGGGAGAAUAAUUACACUUGGUAGUGGCGAAGCCACUGAUGACUAGGGCUGACAAGCCCUAGUGUAGGGUGAGCGCGUUCCACACGGAGGGAGGGAGGGAGGCAGCCGUGAACUCGGGGGAGGAUCAAUGAUGGAAGAUGCAGUACUACUGCUCCAGCCAGGUGCGCCUGUUGUGCAGGUAAGUAAGGACACACAUGGGCAGCAGCCAGCCGGUGGGGUCCUGGCAGCAGCCGGUGGGGUCCUGCAGCCAUCGUAGCGGCAAUGGGGCACGGCCUUGUGCGGUUUCCGUGCCCACGGUAUGCAUGUAUGUCUGUGCAUGCAGGUUUCGGUGGGAGGCGAUAAGGAUGAAUUCGAGUUGCAUCACGAUGCCGUCACUCAGGCCACACAGGUUGGGGUGGUAUGUACUAAUUCCACGCAGUCUUGCUUGCCCUGGCAAUACCGUAUGUUGCCACGUUAUGGGUAGUUGGCCUUAAACAGCACUGUAGUAGCACUGUAUGCAUGUAUGCACAUGUAGUAGCACUGUACUGGCCUUAAAUAGCACUGUUCCUAUUACAUGCAUGCCCACCCAAACAAACGGCCCCCUCACCCAUGUACAUGUGUACACACGCGCACAGCGGCUGGUACACACGCUGGCGCUCACCGCAGUCACCAAGCCGCCGCCGGUGUCCCGUUACGAGGAGGAGAGCGAGGAGCUGCGGGCAGCCAUCUGCGAGCUGGGCGGCAGCAGCGACGUGUGCGCAGCCCUGAUGGAGGUCAGGAAGCGAGGACUGCUGGGCAGCGCGCAACUCAAGGCCAAGCUCAGCGGGGCGCAUAAGGUGUGCGAUGGGACAGUGUUAAGGCAGGCAGCGGGGCGCACAAGGUGUGCGAUGGGACAGUGUUAAGGGGGAGAAAAGCGGGACGCAUAAGGUGGCUAGGUGGAGGCGUGCGUGCGCGUGCGUGGGCGCAUGCAUGAUGAUUGCGCGGAAAGGAGUGACCUGCUGUUCGUGCCACUGCGUGCGUGUCCAUCUACGAAACCGUACGGUAUGCAACACAUUGAUCCAGUCACCAGUGUGAUCAGGGAGAACCCCUCUCAUGCCCACAUGUGCAUGCUGCUGCUGACUCCUUUGUGCAAAACACGCCGCCCCCCUUCUAACCCUUCCAGUACAUGCUGUGUCUUAUGGAGGCCCGACUGGAGGAGGUCCUGGUAGAGGUGGGCCGCGUGCGGCUACCAGAGAUGCUGCCGCCCGGGCUGCAACACUUCUGGCACUACCAUUUCAACGCCGAGAGCGUGGCAUUUGAAAACUUCUUCUUCGCGGUAGGUCAUUACCGUAGUAGCCAUCAGCAGCAGGGACACUAGCAGGGUCAUCGGGUCUUGGAUCGGGUUCGGUUGGUAGAGCGGGUGCUGGAUGGGUGCAGUGCUUGGGUGGCUUGUGUUUGUCCAGGACCGAGUGUGCACGUACACGCACACGUGCCGAUCUACCUUGGCUUCUAGCCUGGCUGACUAUGCCUCCAUCCUUAUUGUCCGCAGGUGAAACUGGUCAUCCGGGACCACGUCUCCAGCCUGGUGGAAGCUAUCAGGGCACGUGCGAGACAGGCAAGCGCUUGCUACUGGCUGCCUGCAUGUGUGCUAUAAGCAGUUAGUUAUCCGGCCAUCCCAUCGCCUUACUUAUUAUCACUGCACCCGUUACUGCGGUACGAACGGUAGUUUUCGCCCUUCUUCCUUGGUUGUUUGCCAUGAGCCUACCUCCCCCUCCGUACGUGCUUACUGCAGUUGGUUCAGGACACCAAGGCUGAGCUCGAGGUCCUCAUGCCCGUGCACGUGCCCAGCCCCCCAGCAGCAGCAGCAGCAGAAGGGCCCCCACACAUGAACAGCAACCCAGCUGAGCCGGCAACAACCCCUACGGCGGCGAGUGCUGAGCCUUCCGAGGAACAGGUGCAGGUGCUGCGGGCGCUGAUUAAGGCCAGUGUGGACGUCAACAACAAUGGACAGAUCCACAUGGACGAAUAUACACGCCUCUACCUUGUGUGAGUACAUGGCUGGAGCUUCCGCUGUGCGCUCUACCUGUAACAGUUUGCUACGGUUAGUAGUUCGCAUUGUCUUGGCGGGGUGAAUCCACGUUAUCGUAAACAAACGGCUGCUAUUUGCAAUGUCAUGCCGUGAGGGUCAUGCCCGACACAUCCUGGACAUGCACUUGCACGCACAUGCACCCGCCGCACAUGCGGUAUCGUACCUGCUGCCGCCGCUACCUCCGUAGCUGGGGCCGACCGCCCCCAUCACCCGCCCCAUCCAUUCCGCGCGCAGGUGCUGUGAGUGGGCGCACCUUGAUCAGGUGCCUCAGCCGGAAGAGGUGCCCGACUGCAUUGCCAUGCUGUGCCGCCACUGGGAGCCGGCGCAGCUGCUAGCGGCGGAGCAGGACCAGCUGCAGCAGCUGGAGGCUGUGCUGCGCCCCCUCAGGUUCGACACGGAUGUCUCCAACCUGCUCUCGCGCUUCCUGCCCGGCAGCCGGCAGUGGAUCUUCCAGGCGUUUGCGGACUGGCUGGCGCUUGGCAGCAAUCACCGGCAGGCGGCGGCGGCGGCUGGUGGGGAUGCGGCGGGCGGCAGCAGUGGCGACCUGGCGCAGAGGGCGAUGGUGUUGUACGGAGGACCGGGACUGGGCAAGUCGACCAUCGCGGCGGCGCUAGUCUGCAAGAAGGUUUUCAGACAGGAAGGUGGAGCAGCAGUAGCGGGCACGGCGGGCGGGGCGGCGGCAGCUGCCGCGGGUGGAGCGGACGCGGCUGCUGCCGUGGAGGCGUCUGCAGUGGUGGCGCACUACUUCUGCAAGCACACCGAUGUCGAGUGAGUGGUUCGUGAUGGUUCAGGCAUACCACGUACAGUAAUGCCCAUUGCUUGGGGGACAGGGGUCCAAUGGCGGCGACCAGACUCUUGGUCUCUCAUGCCUACGCCUACCUCCUCAGAACACGCACGCACCCCCCAAUAAUGCCGGGACUACCCACUUUCAUUUGUACACUUCUAAUAUCACACAGACUGCCGCGUGGGAACACGGUUGAUAACAGAUUGCUGGUGGUAGUGGCAUCUAUGGAGGGCGUGCUUCCCAGCCUAGCUAGCUGAAUCCUCGUUCUCUACCUGAUGGACGCUGCAUUCAUCGUAUGUUUAUUCACAGGCGCUCCGACCCCAUACGGAUGAUGCGCACGCUGGCCUUCCAGUUGGCCGAGCGGAUCCCGGAGCUGCGCCCGCACAUGCUCACGCCGUCCUGCAGCAGCAACAGCGGCCUCGGCGGCCUGGGGGGCGGUGGCGGUGGUGGCCGCCGUGGCGGCGGCGGCCUGCUGGGUGGGCGGCCGCAGCAGCGGGUGGUGACGCCGGAUAUGCUGACCGCACGUGCCCUCGUGGUGGACUCGCUGCAAAACGUGGAGGAGGCGUUUCAGAAGCUGCUGCUGGAGCCGCUCAGCAACAUCAAGGUGCGUGCGUGCCUUUGAUUGGGGAUAAGUGCGUGCGUACGUGGAUACAUGUGCGUGGGUGUUGGAUGGGUGCGAGCAUACUUUACGGCUGGUCCUGUGACGAGUUGCUGGUGGCGGCACGCAGCAAAUUUUGAUCACAUGCAUACGGCGGUACCAGACCGUACAGACUGGUACCACCGGCUGGUACCUGUGCGUACGUGCUUCGCCUUUGAUUGCAAGCCCUUACUUACCGUGCUAUGGAUGCCUCAUUCGUUCAUGUGGUCAGGAUGUCCUCCGCCGACGCGCUCAGCCGCUGGUGAUCAUUAUAGACGGCCUAGACGAGGUCGCGCUGGACGGAGCUGCGGGCGCGGGGGCAAGCGGCGGCGGCGGUGGCGGCGGGCUGGUGGGGCGGCAGAGCCCGCUGCUACGAGUGGUCUGUGAGCAGUUCAAGUACCUGCCCAAGGUAUGUGCAAUCUAUCUAACAUGGGUGCUGGUAGCCAGCCAGCUGCAUGCGGCAAAUCCAGUUACAUAUGGGAAGCAGCAGGAGCGCGCCGGCGGCGGCGCCGUGCCGCGCGCAUUUGUUUCACAUGCAUGCCCUCCAUGCAUGCAUUCAUCACAGGAAGUACGGUUCUUCAUCACGUCCCGACCGGAGGUGCACAUCCAGCGCGCCCUAGGCCGCGCCUUCAGCAAGCCGUUCACCAUCUGGCCAACCGACCCCCGCCACCAGGACGACCUCCGCCGCAUGAUCCAAACCCACAUCGCCGACAAACUGAUGUCAUCGGCGGCGGCGGCGGCGCAGCAGCGGGCGCAGCGAGCCCGGUCAACGGCUGCUAGGAAGGCGGCGGCGGUGCAGCAGCAGAAACAGACGCCGGAGGUAGCAGCGGUGCGAGCGAGGCUGCUGGUAAGGAAGGGGAUCCGUAACCGCCUGCUGGUGGUUCACGGCAGCGACCGGAAGCAGCAGCAACGGCCAGGCGGCAAGGCGGCAGCAGCACCGACGGGGGCGGCCGGCGAGGCUGAUGAGGAGGAGGACUGGCACGCGAGCGAGGAGGAGGUGGUGGCAGCGGUCGACCUGCUAUUACAGAAGAGCGAGGGCGCGUUUGUCUAUGUGGCCCGGUGGGUGAUCAGCGUGAGCGUGCAUGAGCAUGGUGAUCCUGUUGAACGCCAGACAAGCCAGGGUGGUCUGAGUAUGCGUACGCACCAUCUCCUUUGGACUGUGCCUAUCCAUGAGACAGAUGCACUUAUCGUGCCAAAGAGAGCGUGCCAAACAACAUGCGCGUUGCUUUCGUGUACCGUACUCACUCAUCCCGCCGCCGCCGCCGCCGCCGCCGCCACUGCCGCCGCCGCAGGCUGCUGGACGGGCUUCACGCCAGGCCACGCUGGACGCUGGCCGAGCUGUCGGCCUUCCCCCAGGGCCUGUACGGCACGUACGAGGAGUUCGUUAGUAAGCACGUGGGCGGCGGUGACAGCGCUGCGUUCCGGCGUGUACGGCGAAUGCUGUCCGUACUGAUGGCGGCGCAGGAGCCGCUACAGGUCAGCACGCUGACGUACGCGUGGCGCGCGAGCUGGAGCGGCGGCGCGCUGUGUCCGCCGCUAGCAGGUGGCGGCGGCGGCGGCGGCGGCUGGGGUGAUGGGGAGGCGCUGUCGGGUAGUGAUGUGCCGUACCAGGACGCCCUGGAUGACGUGAACGGCAUGCUGCGCAUGCUGGGCUCACUCUACACGCUGCGUGACGCGCGUGUCACGGUGUUUCACAAGUCCUUCCAUGACUGGCUGGCCACACGCUACGUCUCCACUGGCGGCGGCGGUGGCGGCGGGCAGCUGCAACAGGAGAAUGCGGAUGCGGGGCAGCAGGAGGAGUGGGCGGAGGAGGAGCGGGAUCGUAACGCCUACUACGUCAACCCACAGCCGGGCCACGCCGCGCUCGCAACGGCCAUGCUUCCCUUGGCGUCAUUCGUGGCUGCCGCCAGCCUGUCGCCGCCGCUGCUGCCGCCCACUGACGGCGCCUUCAGUGCCGAAGACCCGGCAGCGGCGGCAAGUGGCAGCGACGACGACGACGAUGACGAGGAGGAGGAGGAUGAGGAGGAGGAGGAGCAGGAGGAGGAGAGCGAUGGUGAUGGGGCAUCAUGGGGCAGCAGCAGCAGUGGCAGCGUGGCUGGGGCCCGGAGGGGACCCCCAGUGCUGCCAAGACGACCACCGCCGCCGCAGCCGCAUGCCGCCGCCAUUGGUGGCGGUGGCGGCGGUUGGAAACGACUACUGGGCACGAACGCGAUGGCGCGGCCGGGCUUCCGAAUGGGCAGCAUUGGAGGUCGAGACACGGAUGCCAUUAUGUUUCUGCCUGCCGCCUCAGCUAGGGCGCGCCUGCCGCACCAGCCAGGCGCGCAGCGCCGGAAAGCAGAGAAGGCGGCAGAGCUAGCGGAGCAGCAGCGGCGGCAGCGCGCGGCGGAGCAGGGGGCUGUGCGUGCGUAUGCAUGCAAGUUUGUGAUGCGGCACGUCGUGGAGGUGGCGGGCGGUGCCCAGGGCGGCGGCGGCGGUGGCCCGGCGGCGGCUCGAGCGCGUGCCACUGUGGACGCGUUGCUUCGGGAUUAUGGCUAUCUCGGGGCCGUCUUCGAGGCGGGUCACGGCCACACACUCAUAAGCAACCUGCUGGCACUGCCGGCGGGCUUCCGGUCGGGCUGGGCGGAGGACGUGCUCCGCUGGAUGCUUGUGUGCCAGGACAGUCUGUUCGGCGCGCACCGUGCGGCGGAUGUGAUGGCCGCGGCGCUGCGCUGUCCGGUGGGCACACAGGUGUUCGCCCUGGCACAGGAGCAGCAGAUGCAGCGAGCGAAGGCGGCAGCUGCGGCUGCAGCAGCUGCAGCGGCGGCCGCAGAGCACGAGGAGACGGAACGCAAGAAGGCGGCCAGAGGCGGCCGGGGCCCCGCGAGGGGCGCUUGGGGAGGCAGGGGCGCCGAUACAGGUGGAGGUGGAGGCAGCACGCCUCGGCAGUUCUGGCGCCUGCAGCGCCUGCUCGGCGGCAACACGGACUGGCCGGCAUUCAUGCUGGUCAUGGCGGUGCGUUGAUUGAAUCCAUGACUACCUACCGUACAAGGGUGUGCACAACACAACUAUGCUUCCCUUGUUUGUCUGCAUGAAAGAGUGUUUUGAUGCCUUCACAAACCCAUAUUCUCAGCUUGUACUUCUUUCCUUGUGCUCCCGUGCGUGUCACGCGUGCGCGUGCACGUACGGUACAUAUGGUACGUCCAGGGCCAUGCCAGCCACGUGGCGAGCUGCUCCUGGGACGCCAGCAGCAAGUGGCUGGCGAGCGGCAGCUGGGACGGCAGCGUGCGUGUGUGGGACGCGGCCAGCAGCGCGUGUAAUGCAACAUUCAAGGUGGGUGCGCGGACGAAGAAUAAUGGGGUUGGCCAGCCGCGCCUGGGGUGGUGCUGCCAAGUAAGGGAGCACGCAGGGAUGCUGGCGGCUUAUUUGAAGGUCACGGGAUGCAUGACGAGCGAGGACUUGCAAGUAAGGUUCCUGGGGCGGCCUCCCCGCUGACCCGGCGGUGAUUGCGAAUGUACACGUGCCACGAAUAAACACGUGCGCACAAACGUUUGCACACAGGGCCACUCGGGCGACGUAACGUCCGUGCAGUGGUGCCCGGUCAAGGCCGCCAAACUGGGGAAGCUCGGCCGUCUGGCCCGAGUGCCACUGGCCAGCGCCAGCGCCGACGGCUCGCUACGCAUCUGGGACGUGGCGACUGGAGAGAGCGUGAAGCAGCUGCAGGUGCGUGCGUGUAACACGUCUGGACUUGAUCCUGUAUAUGUCAGCGACCUCUGUUUACAGCCGUUGCGAUUGUUCCUUCUAUCUGAGUGCGCGGUGUGCCCUCGCUGUCAACAAUACAUUCAUUUUCCCUGAACUCCGUCCCUGUAGGGCCACGACGGAUCGGUCCUGGCCGUGGCCUGGAGUCCCGACGGCAGCAAGCUGGCCAGUGGCGGCCUCGACACGACCGUGAAAGUGUGGGACGCAGUAGGGGGCGCCUGCCUGCUGACGUUGACGGUGCGUGCGGUCUUGAUGUUUGCACUGAUGCAUCGACCUGCUAGACUGCCAACCGCCCUGCAUGCCCCCAGGGCCCUGCUGCCAAGUGUGCUAGCUGAAGACCAACCUGCCCAGGCAACUAAGGACCACGUGUUGACAUGUAUGCGUGCGUGGUGUUUGCCAACGUACUGCAACGAACUGCAACGAACCGCAACGAACCGCAACGAACUGCAACGAACUGCAGGGGCACAGCGGGCGGGUGUGUGGCGUGGCUUGGAGUCCGGACGGGGCCAUGCUGGUCAGCGGCGGCUGGGACGGCGGGCUGCGGCUGUGGAAUGUGGAAGCGGGGGAGACGCCCAGCCGGUGCCUUACAAACAUGAAGGUACGCCGGCGGCGGCCCUGCUUUUUCGUACAUUGCACGUUGUGCGUUGUGCGUGCGUGGUUUUUGCGGGCCAGAGGCGGCAAUAGGCCCUGCGUGCUGGCCGUAACCGUCACACCUCACCUCGCCCGCCUCCCUCAUGGUCGUAGCAGGCGAACACUGAGGGCAAGCAGCCCGCGCGCGUGUUCGGUGUUGCCUGGAGUCCCGAUGGCAAGCAUCUGGCCGCUGCGUACGAGGACGCCGCGGUGCGCUUGUGGCCGGCUCGUGCCGGUGGCAUGGCCUGCUCUGCAACCUUCAAGGUACGAAGAGCAAAUCUGCAAACAUGCAAGGCACAGCUUUCUUCCCAGCCCCCUCUCCUCCCCACGCCUGGCUUGGAGCCGAUGAGCGUGCUUGUGGUGUCACUCUUGGUGUUUGUGCGUGUGGAGGAGAGGGAGCUGGGAAAAACGUUGCGCCCUACACACAGACACACACACACACACACAAACACACAAACACACACGCACUCACUCUCACACACACACACACACACACACACACACACACACACACACACACACAAACACACAUCAACACACACACACACACACACACACACGCACGUUGGUUAUACCAGAUACACGAUUCACGUGAUCUGGCAGAAUAACCGCGGAAACCGUAGUCACACACACACACACACACACACAAACACACACACACAAACACACAUCAACGCACACACGCACGCACGGACGUUUGCAUGCGUGCAGGGGCAUACCGCGCCGGUCAAGAGCGUUGCCUGGAGUCCCGACAGCCAGAUGGUGAUGUCCGCUGGCUGGGACGGAAGCAUUCGGUUGUGGGACUCCAGGAGUGGUGGCUCGGUUGCGGUGUUGAAGGUAAGGCUGCUGGUAUUGUGCUCCCAAGCGCGAGUCGAACAGUGCGUGAUGCAUUAUGAGGAUGUGCUGGGUGGCGCGCUAUGCCAAACAGGUGCGUGCAGCAGCUGUACUCAGCUGCUGAGCCCUCACACAGCCGUAACAUUGGAAGAGAUUGUAAAAUCCCGUUGACUGCUGCGUCCUUACUUGCGCAUGAACAGGGGCACACGGGUGCCAUCUUCAGUGUGGCAUGGAGCCCCAACGGCCGCUGGCUGGGGUCCGCUGGCGGCGACCGGCUGCUGAGACUGUGGGACGCAGCGCGCGCUGUGGCGAGCGGGGAUCGCCUCAACCAGCAGGUACGGUGCGCGCGUAAAGCGGAUUCCCUUCCGUUCGAAUGUAAUUGGUGAUGAUGACGAAACAGAGGAAUUUCGCUCAAGUAAAGCCACCGCACGCACACAGGGCCGCAUCCCGCCGCGCCCGUUGUUGACUGUUGGUCCUACCUCAUCCCGCCCUUCGAUGACAGGAGCACUCGGAGAAUGUCCGACAUGUGUCUUGGAGUCCGGACGGCCGCCGGGUCGCCAGCUGUAGCUGGAGGGGCUGUGUCCAGGUGUGGGACGCGGAGCCUGCUGCUCGAGAUGCCGGCGGCGGUGCGGUUGUCACCAGAGAAUGUGCAGUUCUGCUUGAGGUGAGCUGCUGUACGUUUUGGCGCCAAUGUUCCUGGCGCCAUACGCGUGAGGCUGUUGCUCCAUCGCAUCCGGCGAUAGGCAUAGCGGCACAAGCAAGCUGACGAUGUAGACCACACGUGACUGCUGUUGCAGGGCCACACGGGUGUGGUGAUGGCGGUGGGCUGGAGCCCUGGUGCCCCGCAGUGGCUAGCCACAGGCAGCAGGGACCACACCGUGCGGGUGUGGGACGUCGGCGACUCCACCGCCGCCUGCAAACACACGCUCACGGUGAGGCACGCACACGCAAAGGGACUAUCGCAAAAUCUUUAGUCCUCAAAGCCGAAAGCAACUCCGGAAGCAACUCCGAACCGAACCAAACCGAAAGCACAAUUGACCUCUUCCUUGCUCACCCAGGGGCACACGGGCAUCGUGACGUGUUUGGCCUGGUCUGGUGACGGCAGCAAGCUGGCGAGCGGCAGUAGCGACAAAACGCUUCGGGUCUGGUCGGACCUGCAGCGGACCGGCGGCCGCGGCGGACCGGCGGCGGCACAAAAAGCUGUGAACGUUCUCAGGGUAGGGUUGGCCCGGUAUGGGCAGUUGGGCACACUAGCGCAAUGCUGCUGCCGUGGCAAAGGCGUGCACCAACCGCUUAGCUGCUGAAAAUGGUCAUCCGGUGGCCCCGCAUACGGUACGGUAUGCCAUCUUCGGCGAUGUUUGACAAACCGUGCAACAUGCUCCACGCAUACCGUACAACAUGCUCCACGCAUGCCGUACGUACGUAGGGACACACGGCGCUGGUGCGGACCCUGGCGUGGGCGCCCGAUGGCAAGCUGCUCGCCAGUGGGGCCUGGGACUGCACUGUUCGGGUGUGGAACCCGUCCAGUGGCGGUUGCCUGAUGGCCAUUGAGGUACGUGUGUGUGCGGCGGCAUACCGUAGCCGCCCGCAUCCCAGCUCGUGACGCAGUACAAUCGACGGGGCAUUGAAGCAUCAAGGCACAAAGCGUCAGGACCGCAAUGCGAGAGGCCCCUCUUCUGUCACAUCUCUACCGUAUUAGAGCAUAGCAACAGGAGCGUGCGCCGUGCCUUGUGAAAAAGAAGGUUCACCUCUUGCCAUCCUUGGUUGUACGCCGGUGAGGACUGACACAGAGUUCGGAUCGGCUGAUGUCGCUGGCCUGGGCACCGGACGGGAGCAUGCUCGCCAGCAGCAGCGGGCGCGACAAGGAUGGCAAGGUGCCGGUGGUGGUUUGCGAGAUGCUCUCGUCACGGGUGCUGUGCUCGCUUAAGGUCAGUGGGCUCCUGAACACGUGCGCACACAGCCGCCGGUGGACACGCGCCCUAGCGGCCGGCUUGUGCGUAUGCGUACGUGCGUGCGUAUGUGUGAGGCCAGCAGGAUAGAUCUGACACUCGCAUCCGCGGCCACGCCUGCCAUUACCUUGCUUGCUCUUUUGGAAAUCCCUACAAGCCCGCCCGCCCGCCGCCCUUCAUCACCUGACGCAAACCCAACAAUUCCACUCAUCAACUAAUAAACGCCGCGUGUGGCCCCCGGUCAUUCAGGCACACAAAGAUUACAUCGCGCACAUGAGCUGGUCCCCCGACUCGUCCCAGCUCGCCACCGCCAGCUGGGACGGAGACGUCCGGCUGUGGCGGCCGCGCAGCAGCACCGAGUGCGUGGGAGCUCUGGAGGGGCACAUGGGUGCGGUGGCGGCGGUACAGUGGAGCGGCGACGGGCGACGCCUGGCGAGUGGCAGCUGGGACCACUCGCUGCGCGUGUGGGAGCUGGUGGAGUUGUAGCUAGCUAGGGGCGGGGCCAGACACGCGGCGGCACCGCAACCGUGUGCUGCGGCGAUCAGCUCCUUUGCUGGCGUCAGUGGCGGCGGCGCGCCAUCGCACGCUCUGCGGCCGCUCCCGCCGCCAACCCCAGGCGCCUCGUGCGUUGGCCUCUUCUCCUCAGCACGGGCUGUGGGAGCACACGUUGCGGGGCAGCCGAACUCCGCUGCCGGCGGAGGCGUUUGGCGAGGGCGGCGCGUCGUCAGCGGCAGUAGCCGCGCCGUCUGCGUCAGCAGUGGCAGUGGCAGCAGCUGCAGCUGCAGCCAAGUCGCCUACGGCGGGGGGCUUGGUGAAUGUGGUGUCGAUGCGGGCGUCUGCGGUGGCACCGGCAGUAGCAGCAGCUGAGGGGCCGACAGGUUAUUGGCAGUAGCAGCAGCAGGCGGCGGCGGCUGAUGGCGGAGGGCAACCAGCCGCAGAUCUAACGCCGUUUGUGGGAAUAUCCUUCUCGGACAUGAUGUCGUAGUGUAGAGAAUGAGGACUGAAGAUCUUGUUUUUGGUGCAUGGCCAGUAGCCGCGCCGCCUGCGUCCGCGGUCGCAGCGGCUGUAGCAGAUCCAGCAGAGCCAGGUCGCCUGCGGCGACGGGAUUGGUGAAUGUGUUGUCAAUGCCGCGGCACUGGCGCCGGCAGCAACAGCAGCUGAUGGGUCGGCAGGGUCGGCAGUAGCAGGUGGCGGCAGCCGGCCCAAUCUGAUGGCGGAGGGCAGCCAGCGUGGACAUGACGUACGGUAGUGGUGUAGAGAAUGAGAACUGGAGGUUUUGGUGCGUGGCCUACUCAGGGAUGGCUUAGGAGGUGGCUGUCCACGCAGGGCUUGUAUCUUCCAGGGGUGGGCCGCCGUCGCAUUUAAAGGGAUGGCUUGGGAGGUGGCUGUCCGAUGGCAUUCUGCCCUUGACGUGGUUUGGUGUUCUAGCAAAAUUGGAUGCAAGUUGAAGUCUGGUUGGACGGUGAUUCGGUGAUCUGCGGGCCCGCACGUGGGAUGACGAGUGCCAUGUUUGCUGCAUGUAGCAUGCAGUGUCCUACGCAACGGGCAGACGGACUUAAGGCUGCGCCUCCCAGCAGCAGUGCUUGCAUGCGGCGCAUGCAGGGGGGGUAGGGGGUAGGAACAAACUUUUUUGACCCCAUGCCACAAAACCUCCUGGUCGGUCGGGGGCCCGACCGACCGAACGACCGACCCCCCCUGCCGUACGACCCCCCAAAAACCCCUCAGAACCCCUUCGUUUUUUGUCAGGUUGAUGCCAAUCGACUGCUCUGGGUGAGCUCUAUCGCUAUGUUUGAUGAUCCGCCUUGGGAACACACUUUGACCAACCGACAUGUGGACAUGUGGACAUGUGGCCCGGCUGCCGACAAGUAUCCUGAUAGACUGGCCUGCUAUGCAACGUCUUACUUUAAUGUUACUUGAUGAUACGAAAUGUGCUGACACGUUUAUCCAUGCAAAACCCGGCCGGCACCGGCCUGUCCCUAACCAGUUCCCCAGGCAUCUCCCGACAUGCCGACGUGCCGCUCCCCAAACUACCCCAUACUAAGCAUGUGUGUGCUAAGUCUGGGGUAUACCUACGCACGCAUCGUUGAGCUGCACCCAUUGCGCCGCGUGCUGCAGGACAGAAGCGCUAGGAACAAAACUUGGACGAACCUGUGCAAAACCUCUUGGGACCCCCGACCGACCGACCGACUGGCCACUUUGAGGGGUCAUAACUUUGCACCCAGAAACCCAUUUUCGAUUUUGAAAGCGGAUUCGUGAUUUUCUCGUUGAGCUCUAUCCAUUUGAGGCAUGGGGUCUGUUUCGGAAGAUUCUACCCCCCCCCUGGCGCAUGUGUCAAGUGAGCGAUCUUCUGGUGACAGUCAGGACGCUCAGCAUGACUCGUGCAGUCGUGCUCGAAUGAAUGGGUACUCUUGGUCGAUGCCAUCCGGCCCAUUUCGUUACAAAGCUUCUGUACCGUGCCCGCAGCAGCUGUUGCCUGUGCAGCUAUUGCCUCGAAAACAGACUUGGCUCGCCUAUGAGUCAUGGCAAGGUUCGGCCCUGCUGCCGGCAUGAUGGCGCGACAGCUACUGCCGCUGCAAGGCCGCACGCCCUCACACCCGUGCCAAUAGAGGUCCCGCGCAGCCUCCCCUACCAUAGAACCACAUUCCUUGCUGUCCGCAAUACCACACUGAGCCUGCCGGCAUGGUUGCUGUCAAUUGCAUCCGCGGCCACGGUGUCCACCGCUAAACCGCAGUGCGUGGGCGAACUUGGCCACUGGAAGCGUGGCUACGAAACGGCACGGCUAGGUCGCAAGCGGCCGUUUGUCACACACCACGUAAACAACUCAACAAAGGCCAUUGCCUCCACACCACACUAACCACCGCCUAGAUUGUACCCGUGUGGGCUGGAUGGCCCAGCACCACCUGGCGGUUGAGCUCCUGCUGCAGCCAGACAUCCUGCAAAUUAGCCACCUGCACACGGGGUCCAAUCGUGUUGGUUAUCAUGGUUGCACCGGGCUGACGUUGGCGAAAUGGCGAACACACAUGUGCCUUGUCCCCUACCUACCUCCGUGCCGCCGGUCGCGGUCCUUCAGCUGGCCUUGCAGCUGGUCCACCCGGCCUUGCAGCCGGUUCCGUAGCGUGUCGCACUGCGCGCCGGAAAAAGGUAGCGAAUUAGACAACGUUGGCUGAAUAAAGAGUACAUAACGUACAGAGAGACUGAAGAGUACAUACAGACAAGACUGCGUAUGACCUCUGGAGUUCUCACCAAGGCCUAAGCAGCCCUAAUCAGUGGAACAAACUGUGCCACGCUCGCCUGCGGCCUCGUGCGUAACUCGACGCCCAUGCAAACACCUUGGCCUCGUGCGCCUGCUGCUGCAGGGACGACAGCUGCGCCGCCCAGCGCCCACCACACACCACCGCCCGCAGCAGCAGCAGCAGCUGGCCACUGGGAGAUGGCAGCUGCGUCUGCGACUGCACCGCAGCAUCGCAUGUCCCGCCCCCGCUGCCGCUGCCACCACCAGCGCUGCUGUCAUCGGAGCUGCUGCCCAGGCUCUCCAUUGGGAGGUGCUGAGCAAGCACGGCGUUGGCCCGCUGCACCAGCGUGGCCAGCAGCAACACCCGUUCCGCUUCCUGCGUAUCCAAGCCCGCCGCUACCGUCGCGCUGCUGGCGCCACCACUCCGCUGCCCCUGCCCCCGAUGCUCCGGCAUCGGCGCCGGCAGCGGCGACGGUAGGGGCUGCCCCUUCACCUCCUUCAAGGGCGAGGGGGGAGCGCUGUACAGGGCUGUCAGCGGCCCCUCACACACCGCCAGCUGGCACUCGGCCAGGCAGUACAGGGCCGCCACAAAAGCCGCCGAGGGGCAAGCCGGAGCAGCCGGCGGCUGGCUUGCCGCCGCGGACUGCAGUGCCGCCUGCAACGAUGAGCAGGCCAGCUGCUGCAGCUGCUGCUUUAAUAUAGGCCGGGACGCCGCGCGCAGACACCAGCGGCAGGCCAGCCUGAGCAGCAGCAAGCGGUCCGCCCGCUGUUGCUCCAUCCGCUGCUGAAUCUGCUGCUGGGGUGUGUCGCCCGCCGCCGGGCCGCUGUCCUGCUGUAUCGCCUCCACCAGGUGGUCGCAUAGCGCGCCGUAGCCCCUGCAGCGGCAAGCGUGCAUGCGUCAAACUACGGGGUGUAAGCUGGUGACUGCGUUUUCCCUUCCAACCUACGGUACGGCCCGCCCCCUAGCUGCACCCCGCCCACCUGCACGCCAGCUGCGGCCAGUCCUCCGCGCGCAGUAGCGGGUUUUCCACACACGCCGCCAGGCACAGCAGCACCGGCAGCCGACAUUCCGCCGCGAGGGAGCCGUACAUACCGCUGCCGCCAGCCACCCGCAAGGUCAGGGCGCGCACCAGCAUCGCCAGCUGCGCCCGCGGCAGCUGCGACGCCAGCGGCCGCAGCAGGCGCGCUGCCGCUGCCAGCAGCCAGCCCUCAGUGCCUGUGGUCAUUCUAGCUGAUACGCUGCUCGUCGCCUGCUGAACAAACCCUAGCGCAAACAAGGUGACGCAGGCUGCGUGGUCAGUGCAGAGCUGCGCCGAAUCCUGCUGUUGCUGCUGGUGCUCCUGUUGCUGCUGAUGCUGCUGCGAGGCAGUGCUGCCGCCACUGAGCAGGGCCAGGCCAAGCUGCUGCACAGCGAAGAUGAAGUCCUCGUCUGGUACCCGUGCCGCUUCACGCCAGCAAGCCAGGACGUCAGCAGCACUGGCUGCUGCGGAAUGCGCUUCGCCGCCGCCCGCCUCGCCGCACGCCAAAUCGCCCGCCUCCCCGCCCGCCUCGCUACCAGCCGCCUCCGCCGCCACCGGCGCCAGCAGCACGGCGCACACAUCUGGCGGCAGCGCCCCGCGCACCACCGGCACCGCAGCCGCCAUCAGGCGGCUCCAUACGGCCGGCAGCGGGGGGCCGUGCUCCUCAACCUGCUGCACCUGACUGCACAUAAUGGCUUCUGCAAGGAAGGCCACGUCACCACUGUCGCUCGUCGUGGACAGCAUCACCAGGAUCUGCAGCGCCAGGGAUGCUAUAGUGCUACUGCUGCUGCUGCUACUGCCAGCAGGGACAGGUGCAGCAGUAGCCGCGCGCGCCCGCACCCCCAGCAGCAGCGGCACAAGGUCUCCAACCAGGUCGCCCGCAACACACCCAUCCGUCUCGCGCAUCACCGCCGCUCCACCCGGAGUGGCCAGCAGUGCGGCCACUGCGGCGUGCAGGGCGCGCAGCAAGAUCUCUAGCUGCGGGGGUUCUGAGGCGGCGGGGGGCUCUGCCGAGUCCGUGUCCGCAAGCAGGUCGCGAACCUUGCGCGCAGCGAACGGCACCGCAGCAACGGCCAGCCGCAUCACGAAAGCGGCUGGUGUGCGCACAGCAGCAGGCCGCGGUGCCUGGCCGCCUGCGGCAGCUGCUCCCACAUUCGCAUCCGCCGCUGCGCCACCUGCCGAGCUGCUGCCGCCCUCCGCCGCCGCAACCAGCCACGCCGCGUCCAGCACGCAGGCGGUCAGCUGCAGCAGCUCCACCUGCCUUGCGUGGCAGCUGGCAGCCCUGCUGGUGCUGAUGCGUUCGCUGCUGCUGCUGCUGCUGCCAGCUCCCGCCUCCUCAUCCUGCUUGUGCCGCUCCAUAGCUACAGCCAGCAGGGCAGCCAGUUGCUCCAGCAGGUCACCACUGCGGCAACACACAGGGACAUACGUACGUAAUAAGCCGUGGGGUUCGCCGAUUGAAAGGCACAGCUAACGUAACUAGUACAAACCCGACAACCAGGAUCCGUUGCCAUGUAUGCAUUGCAGAAUCCCUGAACGCAAGCCCCACCACUCACUCGCCAAGGGCUGCGUGCAGGCUGAGGGCAGCCUCGCGCCGAAGCGGCAGGCGGCCAGACGGGCUGCUGCCGCUGCCAUGCACCAGGCACGCAUGCAGGCAGCCCAGGCGGAGGCUGUUGUCGACGUCGUCCAACCCAUUCAGCCGCACCAGCGCCCGCACUAGCUCCCCGUAGGUCGUGGGCAGGCUGGAGUGCGGCGGCGGGCCGCAGCGCAGCAGCAGCUGGCGCAGCAGCCGCAGAGCCGCCGUGACCAGGGGUGUUGUGGAUGGGCCGCUACAGCUGCUGCUGCGACUGCUGCUGUCUGGCACUGUGGCUCUGGAGGCUCCGCCCCCACCGCCCACGCCCAGGCACCGCAGCGCCGCCCGCACCAGCGGCAGGCCGCCCCAGUCCGGCAGCAGCAGCCCCGUCGCCACACUGCGCUGGCCCUGCACCACCGCCGCCACUGACUCCAGGAGCAGCUGCAGCUGCUGGGAGGAGGCCACAGGCCUCGGGCGCUGUUGCUGCAGCUCUGUGACGCAGCUGCCUGCCGCCCCCACCAACUGCCGCUGCAUCUCCGGGCACCGCGCGCACGCCUCUGCCAGCGCUGCUGUCAUCUGCCGCUGCGCCUCCGGUCCGUCUGCCGCUGCCAAGCAUAUCAACAGCUGCAGCACGCGUUUCGCAGCCGCCGGCGCACGCAGCAGCGGCAGCAGCAGGGCCGUGCCGCCUGCGGACAGCAUCUGAGCCUGCGGCGACCCCUGCUGCGCGGGCUGUGCGCUGCAGCUGGUCGUGACACUACCGCUGAUGUUGGCGAUAUUGAUCAGGCACCAUAGCACCAGGUCCUGCACAGGCGUCAGCUGCAUGCCGCCGACAACAGCACCACCCACAUCGCCAGCAGCCGCCUGCUCCUGCGGCUUUGCUAGACUGCUGCUGGCCCGCAGCACGGCGCACAUGACUGGCAGGCAGCCGGCCCCAAGUGCGGCUGAGCACGCGGCCGCUGAUGUGGCGGCACCGCCGGUGCUGCUGGCCACAGCAGCAGCCACUGCUGCGGCAUCCUGCUGAAGCAGCGCGCGCAUCAGCUCAAGGCAGUCGGCCACACCUGCUGCUGCGGAUGCAGCCGAGUCACUGCUGCCGCGGCUGCUACUGCUGCUACGGCUGCUGCAGCCGCGCCCAUCUCCAGCCGCCGCGCCCAUGUGUACCUGCGCCCGCAGCAGUGCGGUGACGUCUGCCGCCAGCUGCGCCCGCUGCUCCGGCGGCAGCUGAGACAGCGCCGCCAGAGGGCCCUUGAGGAAGCCCACAGCGGCCAGCGCCAGCGGUGCUUCUGCCUUCAGUGGGGGCUGUUCUCGUUGCCGCUGCGGCUGCUGCUGGGGCUCUGCGGAGCUGCUGCUGCCGCUGCUGGCAGUCGCCGUAAACGCGGCGUCUAGAGCACAGGCGGCGCUGCGGCAGAGCCCAAGGCAGCGGUCCAUGACGGCAGCCACCGCCGCGGGCGCGCAGCGGCGACUGCCCAAAGCCUGCAGGGCACCAAUGAUAAGCUAUGGGCUCAAUAUGAACGAAUACGCACCAUGCAGCGGCCGCAUUGUAAAAAGGUACCCUCCCGCUGAGCUCUGCAAGAGGUAUCUAUGACAUGGUUUUGGGGGCAAUGGCAACCAACAAACUGCGCCCCCUGCCUCGAGCACCGGUUGCUCUGGAGCGCGAUUUGCGGCAACGGCGAUGGCAGCGGUGACGGCGUCGCCAUCGAAGCUCACCUCGGUGCUCAGCAGGCACUGCAGCACGUCGAGGGCCGCCGCCAACAGCUCGGGAUCCUGCAGCCUCUCCACCACCUGCACCAGCACCUCCGCUAGGGAAGAGCGGCCCACUAGUAGACCCAAGCGCCCAUGCAAUACCAGCUGGCGCAGACCCGCAGCCGCGGCGAGCGGCGAAGUGCCGCUGCCAGUGCCGCCGCUUGGGUCCGCGGCCACCGCCGCCUCCCCGUCAGUCUCCAUCAACUUGGCGAGGCAGAAAUCGACAGCCUGUGCGAAUGCAAGGGUGUGGGGUUGCAAAGCAGAUAAGGCACGAUGCGUAACAAAGGCACCGAACGCGACGCGUAACACCAACUGCGACUCGCCCGGUAACGCACGCCCGAGCCCGAAAAUGCUUCCGCGCGAGGCCGCCACAGCUUGCAACUCCCCCCGCAGAACUUGAACUCCUUGGAGCGCGAGGCGUGCCACCACUUGCAGCUCUGCUCGUUACCCACGCGUAACGCACGCAAAGGGCCUUCCUUGCAACGCCCCCUAACCACCUCGCGCUCAUCACAGCCCAGCUACUCACCAGGUUGACGAACAGCGGGUUGGGCUCCACCGCCUCCGCCAACCGGCCGCGAGCCGUCGCCCGGUCCAGCACCCGUGUGACGUUGUCCAGGGCGCUGCUGCUGCUGGCGCUCAUGGCGUCCACGAUGCUGAAGUCAUCGUCACUCAACAGAGCCUCGCGCCGCUCCGACUCCCACCCUGGCAGACCCAGCGAGACGUUGCGGAAGCCCCGGUUGGAAGCGCUAUUGCUAUCGUCGUCCAUGUCCGCACAGAUAAAAAGUAGUAAGUAGCACAAUAUGCUCAAUAUUGUAAAAUCAAAAGUCAGUCGCAGUGGCUGCCAGACCCAGCGUUCGCAGGUUCACCUAGUCCACCACGGUCUAGGUGCCAACUACUGCCUCGGACGCUCUCGCACCCCUGAAAUCGAAGCAGCAGCGAAGCCCGACGCAUGUAUUUAUAACGCCAUUCCAGUUUCAACGAGUCCUGUGUCAAGCCGGGCCGCUCAUCAGUCGCUUCCCAAGCCCACACCAGUCUGGCGCCUCCCGCAACUGCCGCCAACUGAAGAACCGAUACACCCGCGCUGGGGCUGCUGCCAUGCGACAAACGGCAGCGUGUCACCUGCGCCCGUCCCACACUUCCACACGCCAAAACGUCAACAAACCAACCGGCCUCGUUGCAUGCCAUACGAUACGUUAGCUCGACAUGGCGUGAGCUCAAUGCACUUUAAAGGGACAUUCUUCACUACAGGCACCAUCCUUCAUUGGGCUCUCAACAGCGGCUGCCCCGGCCCUACACAAUCUACCACUCCUCAACAAAGCGUGAUGUAUGUCGGCUUGCGCCCCGGAAGCAUGCUGCCCUGCUGCGCCUGCCGCCACGCCUGCAGCCACACCCGGAGCUCCCGCGACUCACGCCCCCGGCCCCGCCGCCCCGCCGCCUCCACCGCCUGCUGCCACUCGCCCUCAUACCGCAGCGCCUCAGCCGCCGGGCCCUCUGCUGCCCCUCCUCCCCCGUUGCCUGCCCGCCUGCCCCUGUCCCUGCUCGGUGCCGCAGCCCGCGACGGCCCCGCCACUGCGCCAUCAUCAUCUCCCUCCAGCAGCCACCUCAGCUCGCUCAGCGGCACGGCCGGGUCCUCAAGCAGCGCGGCAAGGGCCAGGUGCGCGCCGGGGCCGCGGCAGCGCAGGCGACACAGCAUGCGCAGCACGGCCAGGUGCGGCGCAGCGGUCUCGUACAGGUCACAGUGCUGUGCAGGAAGGGGUGCAGGAAGGGGUGUGGGCGUGUAAGGUAGGCGAGCACCAAAUCGGGGGAAUGGCGUAGGGGAAGAACGUGUCACACAUACACGCAUUUGGGCCAUUCCUUGUAUGUUAUUAUCAGUUCCGGCACAGUCGACUGCUGUACGGUACAUUUCGCCAAUCCCUGGCAAUGUUGGCCAGUGCCAAGCGCGACUGCGGACCCGCCAAAACCCACGACCGGGCCCAUGGAACCGCCCUGCCCCGCCCCAGCCCCUGCCCCAGCCCAAGCCCCAGACCCAGCCCUGCCCCAGCCACUCCCAGCCCCCGCACUCACAUACACGGCAUAUCCCGCCUCCGCCAUCGCCUGCAGUGUGGCCGCGCUGCCCGACAGCGCCGCCUGCGUCCAGGAGUUGGAGCCCGACCUCCUGUGCCCACGGCUGCCGGGCGCCACCCCCUCCAUCCCCAGCUGCAGCACGCACCGCACCACCUCAGGCCGCCCGCCGCACACGCCCGUGUCCAGAGCCAUGCGCGCUGCGCUCCGCCGAACGGACAUCUCCACCCUCUCCCUGUCGGCGCCCGGCACCUCGGCCAUGAUCAUGUCUACCACCAGCGGCGCCGGCUGCUCGAUCAGCCACCGGACAAUGUCCACGUGGCCCCGCUCCGCCGCCGCCUUGACUAGCUGGUCAUAGGCCUUGGACGUGCAGCCCUGGCGGUAGGUGCACAGCAGAAGCUGCAGGGCCGACAGAUGCCCGGCCUGAGCCGCUGCUUUAAGCGGCGCGCAGGGAUCAUACCAUUCGAUUUGCCGGGUCUCGGUGGUGACACCGAGCUCGCCGUAGAGGUGACGGAGCCCAGGCAUGUCGCCGCGGGCCGCUGCGGCCGCGGCCGCGGGCCUCAAGUCCUGGGGCCGCCAGCCGCGCUGCUCCCACAUCAGCCGCACGCGGCUCAGCCCGUCUGGCUGCUCCAUGGCGGCGCCGAACACGUGGUCGAGGACGGAGGGGCUCCUCGCCAGCAGCCCAGGCCCCGCGUCGCCGCAGUGCCACUGCAGCAGCGCGUCUAGCUUGCCCAGCCAGCAGGCCAUGGGACUGCCCGCAGCUGCCGCCAGCACCCUCUCAAAAUCGCUGCUGCUGACAGAGCAGUGAAAGCCGUCGGGCCCCUCCUCAUCGAAGGCUGGACCGAAGUUCACCGGCCCACGUGACGCCGCCUGCCGCUGCCCCCGCCCCCGCAGCUGCGCUCGCCGCGUUCCAAGCCAGUGGUUGUAGAGCUCCUCCAGCGCCGGUAGAGGGUAGCCCCCAGCUGCGCUGGCAAGCAGGCGGCCAACGCGCAGCAUGCGCUUGCACUCGCCCGGGCAGCGCGCCAGCAGCACCCGCACCAGCCCCACAUGCCCGGCGGCCGCCGCGUUAUACACCGCCUCCGCCAACCAACGACAGCGCCCGCGCGCGAGCAGCCACUCGCACACGUCAGCGUUCCCGGCUUUGGCAGCGUGUUGGAGUGUGGGGUACCAUUUGUACACGUAGCCCGGGUCCCCCUCCACGGGACAGCCCCUCGCGCACAGGCGCUUGCACAACGCCAGUGCGACGCCAGGGCGCAGGCCCUCCGCCCUGGCAGCGGCCCAGACCAGCCAGGCUCCCGGGGUCAGCUGUGUCGCCUCCAGGGCCGCAUCCACUGCCUCCAGACUGCCGGUGGCAGCCACGGCGCACACCAGCUGCCGGCGCUCACUGGCAGAGCGGUUCCGGAGCUGUUCCAGUUCGGCGGGGUGGAGCCGGCAAAGCGCAUGUGCUGGCAGCGGUUCCCACGCCUUCACCAGCCGGUGCUGAGACAGGAGCUCCGCUGUGGUUUUGUCGACCAGACGCAGCGUAAGCAAUACUUCAUUUUGCGGAAGGAAGCUCGCAAUGCGCUCCACCAGCUCCGGGAUCCACACACGCUGCCACUUGUCCCUCUCUAGCCUUGCUUUUGACCGUGUGCAGUAACUGAGGCGCUGUCGAUGCGCCAUAAUCGAUAGUGGAGGGCAAAGAUAAUCUGCAAAUUUAGAAGACAGCUGGGUAAAAGCAGGUGCGGCGGCAGCGAUUCCACCUAGGAUUGAUAGCUAUAACUUUAUAAAAGGGCGGUUUUAAGUGGAGCUUCUAGUCAACUUGAACGGAACUUAAGACAGGUUUUGAAGGAGGGAAGCGGAGAAAUAGGCUGGCGAGGACGCGCAUGCUUGGUAGGCGAAGGCCGAGGAGAGAAGGGCGGGGGAACCGCCGUGUGUCGGAAGAUGGGCCCCAAUGCGUGAACGUGGCUCGAAAGACGGACUGUUUUUGGUUGCAUCGGUAUCGUGCGAGCUAUUAUUUACUUUACUUUGCGUUUUGGCGUACUAGCCGUGAACGGCUCGGGAGCCGAGGGCUAGUUUGUCUUUUCCCACCCGCCCACCCUACUUGAUUAUAAGCUUAUGGAGGCUUUGCUACCUAGCGCGGUUUUGAGUCACUCUUGUGUUUUUCGUCCCGGGGGGUGGUCUCUGCCCGGCAACUAGGAAUGGCCGGGCAGACCCGUGCUGGUUAUUAGGCGCCGUAGAAAUUAGACGGCCGCGGGGCUGGGGCCAAGGGAAGCGGCGUGCGACUGUGUUUAGGCACGCCGCCCAAGUAAGGGCACAGCCGCUUACUCCCCAUAUCCAUUUGCCCUCCCCGGGUGAUGAACGUUUGCAAACUUGAGCAAGACGGUGAUCAUGACUUGCAUUGCGGUAUGUGGAAUGCUGUAAAUGGUGGGUGAUUGUUUCGUUUCCGAAGCCUGCCCUCAGCAGCCCUCCAUCUCAAAAGGAAUUUAGUGUCGACUCAGGGCGGGUGGCCCGGGUAUGGAUCGGCCACAACACCGCGCCUCUGUAAUCUUCCUGCCAAUAGUUCCGUGUUUUAGUGUUUCUACCUUCAACACUGUCACAAACGGCUAUGCUAAUCAAGAGCACCGGAGCCCAGCCAACCAACAUGCCACCCUCCAGAAGAGGCCAAGAGGCUGCAGCAGCACAUAAUAGGGAUCUACAUAACAAGCCUGGAAAGCUAGUUGAGCUGCCGAUGUAUGGCACCAUCCCGGACCUGGUUGCGCUUGUCUGUCGCCCGCUGCUCGCGGAGCCGCUGGACCCUGCGGUGCUGCUGCGCUGCUAUGCCCAGCUGCUGGGAGGCCACCAGCAGCGACCAGCAGCUGCUGCUGUCGCGGCACUCCAAGCGAUCCAAAGAAAGCGCAAAGGGCCUGCUUACGGAGGCUGUGGAGGUGGUGACGUGGCUCGUGCAGGCACUUGGAGAAGCAGAGGCAAAAGAGAAUGGCGCUGCGGGUAGCUCCCUGCGGCCAGCAGAUGCCACAGGGGGCCGCCGCGAGCAGUCCGGAGCAGCAGCAGCCACACCCCAACGCCCCAGAGCUGGUGGGUGCCAGGUUGGGCGAAUGCUGCGUAUGAGAAGGGCCGCUGCGCUGCCGCUGGCGGUUCUGGGCACUGGUGCCGCCGCCGGUGCACCGCCUACGGAGCUGGAGCCACUAGCAGCACCAGCGGCACCACUGCAAGAGCAGUGGUUGGGCCUGAUGCGGUCAUUAAUGGCACAGCAGGUCAUGCCAUACGCGGCCGGAGUGCUGGGAGCGACAGCAAGCGCUGCGUCGCGGCAACGCGCCCUGAGGAUCGUCGUGGCCACGCACCGGAGUGAGGCCUGGCGGGACGCGGCAGUAAUACUGCGGUGGUGCUGCCUGCUGCUGACAGCGCUGCACCGCGCAUAGCAACUGCAGGAAACAAGAGGGAGCAGGGGAGGCAGCAUCAGGGGCAGCCGUCGGCUGACGAGUCGCUGCAUGGGCAGGACGGGCAGGCGCAGGAGCAGCCACGAGCAUGCAGCGACAGUGCCGGGAUUGGCGCCACAAGCAAUGCCGGUGCAGGCGGCGGCCAUGCAUGCGGCAGCGUUCGUCAUUAUUAUUUGCGAGGAAGGCGCGGCGCUUGAGCUUGGAGAGGCUCUGGUACGGGCGGCGGCGCUUGUUCCGCUGGCGCUUGUGCCGCUGGCGCUUGUGGAAAGGGCGGUUUGCGGCAGUGACGGGGCAGUGACGGGGCAGUUGCAGUGGUAUUGCGCUGUGUGGAGCGCCUGGAGCGACAGCUGCAGCAGCAGCCUCCUUCCUGCGGGUCCGCAGCCAGCGCCAACACCCGCAACCAGCAGCGCAAGGAGCACUACCACCAGCGGUAGGUGAGGAGCAGGAACAGGAGGAGGCGGAUGGGGCGGGCGGGGUGGAGCAGGCGGAAGAGCAGAAGCAGCGGCGCUGCGGCGGAAGCAGGAGCAGGAGGCUGCGGUGCAGGCCGCGGUUGGAGAGCAGGCGGACGGGCUGUUCAUGCUACCAGCGGCGGUGGGCGCUGCUGGUGCCGCCUGGCCGGGUGCAUGCGGGCGGGGCUGCGGCAGGGGCUUGCCUGUUGUGGCUGUGGCCGCCGUGUGACUGCCCGGCAUGUGCACCGGACCGGGAGGGAGGCAGAUAAGGGCUGGCCGCUGCCGCGUGAGCGCUGCACGGGGGCUGGGUGUGGUGCGGCGACUGCAUGGGGAAAGCUGUACUGCAACACGGCGUGUCGGCUGCAGCACUGCGCGGCCGCGCACGCGGACUUGUGCCAGCGUGUCGCGUGUGGAGCAGGUAGAGGCGACACUGGGCGACAGGGCGUGCGCGUGAUGGGCCGUGUGUCAGGGUGCGUGUGACCGCACUUGGUAUACCAGCAUGCGUCAGUUAAUUAUUAACGCACGCUGCACGCUGAAGGCUGUAGAGACUGAUGAUGAUAUGCCAUUUGGGGGAUGAACGUUUCGGUCAUGACAUCAAUAGACAUACCGGCCAAUAAGGGACGGCAGAUACGGUAGGUGCCUGCUGAAGGGACCCCUGCCUGAGCUUCGAAAGCCAUGGGCCUUAACGUUACAGGCAUGGGUCAAUGAUCUCUCAUGUUUUGCUUUUGGGAUGAGGUAUUGGGACUAACGAGGCUGGUGCAUACUGGUCAUUUGAUUGCGCUCGUGUGCAUUGCCAUGCUGGCCACAGACGUCGACUGCGGCCUGUGGGAGUGCUUAUGUGCAACGCCGCCUAGUAACGACUUAUGAUGUACGUUAACGGUAUUGCCACCCGCAGCUGUGGGGCAAUCGACUUGGGUCCAUCAAGAACCUUGCUGGACGCCCCCAGUAGGUUGUGAAACAGCCUGCAUGUGCUUAGACGUAACUCCAGAGUUUGGCGCUGUGUUUGGGUGGUGCUGCUUGGCUGAAAGCGUCUUGUCCCAUCAAAUAGAAGAGGAUGAAUACGGUAUCUUCCCCACACCAGUGCCCUAGUGGGGUCUCCCCGCGUGCGCCCAGCUCAAAACCUUUGCUGAAGACUUGAUUUGACGUAUACCGGUACCGCAAGUUGCACAACCUUGCACGCAUUGUUUUCGCUCAUUUGGCAACGUGUUACAAUUACGUGCACCCGCUUGAGAAUAAUUUCUGGAUGUGCAACACCGUGUAAUCUUUACUGUCACGGUCCAGCCGACCGGGGGCAUCCAAGCAAUCGCAACUGCCGCGUUCCCACAUGAAGCAACAAUGUGUUUGGUCUACGCCCAGGACAGGCAACAAUCGGAAUGGUGUUAGAGGGCUAGCGCCGAACAGACUGUCUGACAGCUCCUCACAUCACGGACAUAAGUCGGACGGCGUGAUUGGAAUCCCCGGGCAGCGCCAACACCGCAAGCAUAGUCGUAACCGAGCCGCAUGAGCGCCACCACGGGCCACGGCGGGUACCGUCUACAGUCGAAUCGAACAGCUCUCUAAAGCCCGCGCACAGCAGUCAGCACUGUCUAGUGGUACCGUAAUUUGUGAACCAGGUCCUCUCAUCACACACUGGCAUCAUGUGCCGCAAUUAGCAUGCCGACGCCACGACGCCUGCCGCCAGUGACCCAUACCACAUGCCCCGCUCUACCAUCCGCGCUUAAAAUCCUGUUAUCUCAACGCAUAAGACCCCUGUGGCCAGAGAGCAAGCAACCACUGUUACACGCAGCAGCAGCACCUGUUGUCUGGUUGCAUGGCUCGGUAUGGUGGCCGAAACUGCUGCCGCACUGUCAGCGACAGGGCUAAGCGAGCCACCCGGGGUGUCCGUGCCACUGCUGACCCUGCCAAGCCUGUCCUUGUCCUAGCCACGGCUGCCCACUGCCAGCGUAUGGCGGACCCAUCCCUGCUGCGGCCAGGAACGUGGGCUGCAUCAUGGGCGCCGACAUGCCCGGUGCCUGCAGCGCUGUGCCCAUGCCGCCCCCUGUGAAAGCGGCUUGGAACACUUGCGACUCCAUCUGCAUCUGCAUCUGCUGCUGGCUCAUGGCGGCGUGUGGCAUCAGCGGGUAGCCACACGUCUCUGCUGGAUACGCCCAGCCAAAGCAGGGGGCCGCCGGCUGCGGCUGCAGUGGCUGUCGCGGCUGCUGCUGCUGCCACUGGUCGCGGUCCAUGCUAGCACCAAAAUGUUGGGCACCAGUGCCGCCUGCAUACCUGCCGCCGCCACCGCCAUAGCCACCGCCGCCCCGGCCGCCGUGAUAACCAUGACCGCCACUCCAUCCGCCACCAUCCCUGCCGCCGCGCUGCGACUGCAGAGGUGAAGGCGGAACGCACGGGCAUUGCACCCACUGCGGGGCUUGCUGUUGUUCAGGCAGUACGGCAGGCGGUUGAACGCUCUGCGGCGGCUGCAGAUGCGGCAGUGGUUGCUGCUGCUGCUGCUUUGCCGGCUGCUGCUGCUGCUGGUGCUGCUGCUGCUGGUGUUGUGCUGACUGCUGCUGCUGUUGUGCCGGCUGCUGCUGCGGGUGCGGUUGGGCCAGCUGGGGCUGCAGCUGCGGCCACAUCAGUUGCGGGCUGACGCCCGUGGCCAGCAGCUGCUGCAGGCACGCCGCUGCGCCCAGCUGACGCGCCGUGUCCUUGUCCGCAGCGACCUGGAGGCCAGGAAGUUCCAAAGAUGCAAGUUACGGCCACACGUACGGUACCGUAACAAGGUUGCUGCGGAAGUUCAGCAUGCUGUUUUGUAAGACGCACCUUGCCAAUGGCGCUGAUUGUCGCGUCUUCCUCCUUUGAUCGCAGCUGGAACGUCGCUACGUAGGCUGCGGCACCGGCGGCCGUGCCGCCGCCCUCACUGCCCUCACAGCCUGCAGCACUUGUCCCAGCCGCAGCCGCAGCAGGCAAGCGGCCCACGGUUCCAGGCUGCACGCUGUGUCGCUCAAACUCCACCUAAGGGCAGUGCAACGGGUUCGGAUUGAAGCAGGGCGUAAGCAGCAGUGGGCAGCAAUCGUGGUAGCCCCCAUCACCAUAUGUGCGCACGCUUGACUGCACGGACGCCUUUCCACCCACCCACCCACCCACUCACCCACGCACCCACGCAUCCACGCACCUCGUACUGCCAGCCCAUGCCGGCGGCGUAGUGCUUCAGCACCUGCAGCGGCAGCACCUCCCGGCGCCGGCCCCGCAGCUCCUGCUCCGGCUGCUUCUGGCUCUCCUGCUGCUGCUCCUGCUCCGCAAUGACCUGCGUUGCGGUUGACACACACGGCACAUGGGACACGAACGCGUGAGAGGCCCGUGCCGUGAGCAUGAGGGUCGUUCAUGGGUCAGCAUCAGGGCAGGCGGUGACCGGGCAGGCAGCACAUGCUGUAAACAUAGCGAGAAACGGGUUCAACCGUGCGUCGUCCAGUGUCGUGUCGCACGACCUAAGCUGCCUCCGCGGCCACGUUCCGCACCAGGCCUUGGCCAACCUACCAUCAUCAGCUUCGACACCCUGGGGUAGUGCCUCUCCAGGGCCUGAGCCAGCAGCACCAGUGGUGAGGGCGCAGAUGCUGCCGGUGCCGAACUACUGGGCGGCAGCUCUGCAGCGCCCGCGGCUGUAUCCUGGAGUCCUGCCGCUGAGACCUGCGCUCCUGAACCCGCUGGCGAGGAGGCGCCGGCGCCGCCGCCCCUGCCUGCAAGGCCCGGUGUAAUAGCUGACAGAUCUACAAUUGGUUCUCCUGGGGUUCCCACCACGUGUGGCGGCUCAGCGGCCGGCGAACCCCGUGAUGCCGCCACCUGCUGCGCCUGGGGCUGCUGUGGCUGCUGGUGGUGGUGGCGCUGUGGCUGUGACUGCAGCGGCGACCUUGCGUCCAUACGAGCCCGCUUCUGUUGUGGCUGUGGCAGCUGUCGCCUGCUGCCAGGCAGGGACAGAGGCGGGUCACCUGCCGACAGCAGGUCACCUUCCGACCGCAGCUCCCCUGCGGCGCGCUUGCUCCCGGCCCCGCUGCUUCCAGCUGCGCCGUCACUGCAGCAGCCAGCAGUUGCCACUGCCACUGCGGCUGGCGCGGCCGCCGCCCCGGCCACCUCCGGGAGGGCCGCCGCCGGUACUGCCUUCCAUCCACCGCCCCGGUUGCUGCUGCCCUGCUGCUGUUGCGGGUGCUGCGGGGGUGGUUGCCGCAAAGUCGCCGCAGCAGAGGGCCUGUGAACUGUGGGGCCCGUGCUAGUUUCAGCAGCAAGGCCUGGCGCCCAACCGUGCUCUGCUGCCUCCUGCCCGACGGCUGCGGCAGCUAUGGGCUCAGCAUCGCCAGUAGUGGCUUCCGGCCCGCCAGCGGCGACCACUGCCGCCGCUGCCGAUGCCACCGAUGCCAAUUGCGCCUGCUCGGCCGCUGCUGGCACAGCAGGAGGGCGGCGCGCCGAGGGUUCCAGCCCGUGGUGCAGAAGGUCCAGUCCUUCUACCAACUGCCGUUGGGUUGUGGCGCGCGUGGUGCGCUGCGGCAACAGGCGGUCGUUGCGGUUGCGCUGCUGCGGGCCAGCAGAGCCGCCCGUGCUGCUCAGAGGCUGCGGCUGGCCCUUGCCCUGCCCCAUGCCCUGACCCAUGCCCUGCCCAUUGCCCUGCCCCUGGAGCUGCUCCUGGCGCUGCUCCUGUUGCAGCUGCGGGCCUGAUGGCGGCAGUGCUGCCGGCGUCGGGGUGCUGGCGCGCGGACGAGCCGGCACGUCUGCACUACCGCAGGCUGGGGUAGCGCCGCUCGCAGUGCCCCUGGCCCGCCGCUUUGCGGGCGGCGCCGGCACGAUGUCCCGUGCUGCUGCGGCCAUUGGCGUCUCUGCCGCGCCCGCGGGCGGUCCCACAGCUGCUCCGUCCUCCGCAACGUCGCCCACGCCCGUGCUCGCGACCGCAUCCGCCUUCAGCAGCCGCGAGCCUGCCGCUGACCGCUUUGCCUCGAUCGCACCCCUGCCGCGCCUGGUGGUGCUGGUGACGUCCAACUGCUGUUGCUGCUCCCCCUGCUCCUCCUCCUGCUGCUGCUGCUCCUGCUCGUCCUCCUCCUGCUGCUGCUCCUGCGGCUGCUCCUCCUCCCGCUGCUGCUCCUGGUCGCCUGCCCCACCCUGCCUGACAUACGCUACGUACACACGCCGCGUGCUGCCGCCCUCGCCACCGCCCUCACCCUCGCCGCCCAGCUCGGCAGUGAAGGCCAGGCUGUCACCCCCCUUCGCGUCAUGCGCCCGCAACCACUUCCCCAGGCCGUACACAUACCAGCGCAGCGACGGGCUAUUACGGCUGUGACUGCGCACUUCGAGGCGCGCACGCACAGGGAUCGGCUCGCGUGUCUCAGCGUCGUGCAAUGGCACGGUGGUGAUACCCGCACCCCGAGCCAUCUCCGGGCCAAGCAGCCGCUCUACCAUGUGAGAGCGUACGGUGAUUAUGCAUCCCCGGCACUUAAUAGCGCCAUCGGUAAGCGGCAGCAGCACCGCUGGACUAGCAGCCGCGGCGUCGGCCCCCACUGCUGGUGCUGGUAACGGCGCCGCCUCCAGCACCACGCGGCCGCACGGCGCCAGCACCGUCAGCCGCAGCGGCGCCUCCGUGCUGACUCCAAGCACCUGGCGCAGCGGCCAGAGGCGCCCCAGAUAGUAGCGCUGCAGGCUGUAGCAGGUGAGUCGGGCACCCGCGUACGGCCGAAUCUCACCGCCGCCCCAGCCGCCAGCGCUAGCUGCUGCUCUAUAGUACAGCUUGACGUCCCGGCUGCUGCUGCUGCACUCAACCGCAGCGGCAGUAGCCUCCUCUUGCCGACCUCGUGCGCGGCUACCCGCGAUUGAGGCCAUUCGGUUACGCCAGGCGCGUGUAACGGCCUCUUCCUCGGUGGGAAAGGCAGCACGCGCAACGGCCCUGGACAUUUCGCAGCCGCCUGCCUUAUUGCAGCUGACCAGACAGAAGGAGACGGAGCCCGGUGGAUGCUCCGGCAGCGGCGCCCCUGCAUCGCACCCCGCCGGCGCCCGGCGUGUAGCCCGCACAUAUGCCACGAAGAACCGCGGCCCCAGCGCUGCUCUGGUACCGGUGUCCUCCGCGCUGCCGCUGCCGCCGUCGCCACCUACCACAGGCGCAGCCGCGCUGCCGCCAUUUCCAUCCCCACCCGCCGCCGACGCAGCCGCGCUGCCGCCGCCAUCAUCGCCGUUUGUCAGCACCAGUCGGUCGCCCUCAGCCGCAUCCCGGGCACGCAGCCAGCAUCCCAGCCCCAGCAACUCCCAUUCCCAGUUGCGGAGCCGCAGCCUCGCUCUGCUGCUGGGGAUACGCCGGCGCGUGAUAGCAUCAUACACAGGUAUGGGAGCGGCCGCAGCUGCGGCGCCACGAUCCUGCGCGGCGUCUGGCCCCAGCAACGCCUCCACCAGCGCGCGCCGCAGAUAGAUGCGGGCAUACAAGGCGGUGGCGGAUCGGGACAGCCGGACCUCUGUGGGGCCGAGCGCCCCACCCCCCUGCUUCCUGCGUCGUUUCAACCCCUCCCUCUGCGGCUGGCCGCCGUCCUCCUCCUCCUCCUCCUCCUCCUCCUCCUCCUCCUCGUCCUCCUCCUCCUCCUCCUCGUCCGCCUCCUCCUCCUCCUCCUCCUCCUCCUCCUCCUCCUCCUCCUCCUCGCAUUCCUCCUCCUCCUCGCAUUGCUCCUCGGCCUCCUCCUCCUCGCUUUCCUCAUCCUCGCCAUCCUCGUCGUCCUGCUCCUCGUCAUCAUCGUCCUCAGUAGGCCUGGCGGCCGCAGCUGCCCGCACCUUGACUGCGCUGGAGCGCGCCGGCGGGGCCUGCUCUGCCGCCGCCGCGCCGUCCUCCGCUCCUACUGCCGCCGCAUCCGGUGCGGCCCCAGCUGCUGCUUCUGCAGCUGCGGCUGCUGCUGCGCUGCAGUAGCCGGCCGCAGCAAAGGCGGCCGUGACACGCGCAGCUGCCUGUCGCACCUGCAGCGGGCGGGAGGAAUGAGGUUGCACCUCAGCAUGUACUUGAACAACAAAUGGCAUAUCCACGCCGAUGUGCUUCCAUCAUACAUCCACUGCCGGUACUCGCAAUCGCGCCUCCAGGGGACAUAUUCAGGUGAGGAACGUCAGUUACAUCACGCAGCGCGCUGCACUAAAAUCACGAAGCACGGCAGUCAGCCCAGCAGUCACCCAACCCACCAAGGAGGUCGUAUUGGCCGUAGCUUGCACACCUCCAAAAGCCGGCCUGUCGUCCUCCACCUGCGGCCCCUCUUGCUCCCCGCCAAGCACCUCCGCGUACCACACGCCCACAUCGCUGAAGAGGGAGUGCGUGCGGCUGUCCUCCAGGGCUUUGUGGAGCACCAGCGGCAGCCGGGCGCCGCGGCGUGUCGGCGGACUGCACGUGAAGCCCACGCCAGCCCAGAAGCCGGCCGCGCUGGAAGUGCGGUUGGCCACGAGGGCGGUGACGUACUGCAUGGAGGUACAGACACAUGGAGGUACCGGGGGAGGAGGGUUGGAGAAGUAGUACAAGUGACCCGAGGUGAACAACGGCUUACCAGUGCACGCCGUCCUGUGCGUACCCAGCAGUGAGCCCUAUACAUCCCGACCAGUGCUACCAUGCAUGCCAGCGAUGGCUUUCGUGUCCCAUGGCCGCCUGAGAACCUCGAUACGCCCGUUCGUGGUGCCGGUAUGCGCGCACCUGGUGGCCCUGCUCCGCUGCGGUCUGCAUAAUGCACCGCGUCAGCAACCGCCCCAAGCCGCGGCGCUGCAGACGCGGCGUCGUGGCCUGGAGCACAAUCUGCGUACAAUACCGUAUGCAAGCUAAGGCGAGCCGAAUGCGCUGCGGUUGCUACGUGGCAAACACGCCCAUGCAAGAUAGGAGUAGCAGCAGCCGACAGAGGUGGAGGGUGCGCGUAUGGCCCUGACAUUUAAAGGCGUGUGUUCGCAUGCUGCAGCACAAGGGAGCUACGUGUUGGCAACUGUGACAACCUGCAUGGGACUGCCGCCACGUAGGCCAGGGACCCCACCUGCAGGUGGGAGCUCUCCGCUUCAUCAGCGCCGCUGCGGGAUGAGGACGCGGACGAGGGCGGCGGCGGCAGGUUGAGGCGCAGCGCCGCUGCCGCCACUACCUCCUCGCCCAGCCAUAGACAGGCGGUCAGGUAGGGCUCAAACCUGGGAGGGGAGGGGAGUAGUGAGGAGGGGUCACGCGGGAAUCAGGGACUGUGUAGGUAGGUUAGCGAGCGUGCAGCUGCAGGCACGAAGUCACGAUGCUGGCUGUCUGGCAGGCCAGCAUGACAGCGAUGCAGCAAAGGCACCUCAGGCUGGUGUGGACACCACGGACCUGUGUGCCUCCUCCAUCCACGCUUGCGUGAGGGGGCAUCGUCCGCGGUACACACAGUUUCGCACCUGUCCAUGAAUCAGCACAAUGCCCGGUCACGCGUACACUUUGUGGCAAGAUGGAAGCGCGGGCGUUGGGCGUACAGCGCAGCGGGCGCGUUGACUGUACAGCACAGAUCAUACCGUCACGGGUCGAGCGGCUUACCUCAUCUGGGUCAUUGGGGAACUCGGACUGUAGCAGCGCCGAUACAGACUGGGGCGACGACGCCCCCGACGCUUGGUCGCCCGGUGUUCGGUGGUCGGGGCCCAGACCGAACGGCGACAGCAGCUCAAAAUCAACAUCACCCUGCGUGCGUGCGCGGUUGGAGGCGGGCGUAGAAUGGGUGGCAGUGCAGUCAGCGUGCACAAGCGCGCGCACACACAUACACAAACACUGGCAUCUCGAUUGCGUUCCGGUUCCCGACACUCACCCACCUGCUUAGCAGCUGCCGCCUGGCACGUAUCCCCUCCCCCCCUUGACACGCACGGUCACCUGACCCGGCUCAAUCCCAGUACCCCAACCACGAUGCCGGGACCAUGGGUCACGCGGCGGACACGCACCUCCGGCCCAGCCUCCGCGACCUUGGUCCUGGGGCGCACCAGGCCGAGGAGCCCGCAUUCCAGGCGACUGGCCCGCAGUGAUCGCUGCAUUGCUGCAGCGGCUUACGAACAGCGACAAAGCGACGUUGUGAAGCAGUAGCCGCGUCAGGGCAGCAUUCCGGAAAACACGAUUUGCCGCUGCGGUCCCGCCCCGCCCAAGGCGCGCCUGCCAGGCGACGGCACACUCCCUUGCGCUUCACGUCUGUACAGCGACUAGCAAGACCCGCGGAGCAGCGGCAGGCUCGAGCACUCCGGUAAGGCGUGAGGGGCAAAGCGCGGCAAACUGUCCGCCGCCAAUUCAGAUUUUGCUAUCGCGCUCGGGUUGCAAAGUGUACAGUAUGUGUACCUGUUUGGGGAGGGGGCUUCGCGCUGCCGAUGAAGUAACUAUCCCUUUUCCGAGAUGUUGAUGACCCCGCAGCACACGACCCCCACCUUUACACCGGACAUGGACCUCGAGUGAGGUGCAGUGCUUGAUCUACAACACACACCUACACACCUUUACACGCAUUCCUACGCAUACCGGUUUGCACAUGCACAUUGCGCACGCGGUUCUCACGUUUUGGUCCACAAUCCGCAAUCCUGCAGCACCCGCAAGAUGCUGUUACUGCGGGCCCGGCGUUAGCUACCAGUGCCACUGGCCCUGCGCCUGGCUCCGCCCUUGCUUGUUACUUAUCGGCUGCCGCCGCGCCCCCCUCCCGCCGCCGCGCCCACGUCGGCCUGCGGCCGCAGCAGUGCGGUGACGUCCGCCGCCAGCUGCGCCGGCGGCAGCUCAGACAGCGCCGCCAGAGGGCCCUUGAGAAAGACCACAGCGGCCAGCGCCAGUGGUUGCUCCUCCAUCAAGGGCCGCCACUGUUCAGUGGCUCUGAUGUUGCUGCUGCUGCUGCUGCUGCCGGCAGUAGCCGCAGACACUGCCUCUAGGCCACAGGCGGCGCCGCGGCGGAGCCCGAGGCAGCGGUCCGUGACGGCAGCCACCGCCGCGGGCGCGCAGCGGCGACUGCCCAAAGCCUGCAGGGCACCCAUGAUAACCUUAUAAGGCAUGGCCUCGAUGACACACCACAGCGACCGCAGUUGCAGCUGACCUGUGCAAAAGGUAGCGCGUGCUUUUGGGGUAGGGGUAUCUCUGACAUGGUUUUGAGGGCAACCGCGACCGUCAAACUGCGCCCCCAGCAGCUCGGGAUCCUGCAGCCUAUCCACCACCUGCACCAGCACCUCCGCUAGGGACGAGCGGCCCACCAGCAGCCCCAGAUGCGGAUGCGACACCAGCUGUCGCAAACUCACCAGCUCCCACACCAGCCGCUCGCGCUGUUGCAGCUGCACGGAAGCGUUGGCCUUGGGCCAGAGCCGCAUGAUGCGGACCGAUGACCCGAUGAUGAGGACCGGGGCAGCAUCCCGGCUGGCGUCUGAAUCAUCGUCUUGACGACCCGGUCUCGCCCCUUGCCGCCUGCUGCUCACUGUGCAGCGCCGCGCUGUGCGUCACAGCGAGCGGGCGGUGCCCCGGCGCUCCACGGCGGCACCCUUCACUUCAACGCCAAGCCGUAGCUGCCGUCGCAAUCGCCCCUUCUCAUGACUCCAAGGCGGCUCGCCGUCAUGCUGCUGCUGCAUCUGCUGGCGCCGCCAAGCGCGCUGGCGCUGGCGUUGGUACCAGUCGCAAGCCUGCCUCGCCACCAGCCCUCGUCAGCCUGCGGGCGCUGCGCACCCAGCGUCUGGGCGGGCGUUGCGGCGCCAUCAGCCACCGCUGCCAGCGAUAGUCGGCCGGCAGCCUGAAAUGCCGUGGCCACACGCGCCGGGUGCACCUGCGUACAAUGAAAUGUACCGCAUGUGCACGUUGACGAGGCAAACGGAGCCGGGAAACCGUUGUGGCGAGCAUGAACCAAACACCUUGACGAGAAACCGGCGUGAGCAGCAUGCGCGCUGGACAUGCAAGUGGCGCAUAACGGCAUAACAUGGGUGUUCGCCAGGGCCAUUGGACGCUACACAUGUCGCCGCACACGGCAAUGCAAGAUAGAGGGAAUAUCGACGGCGCUGACAGGCGCAUGUGGAUAAUGGCACGAGCAGGCGGCCUGCUGCUGCAGCCUUGCGAGUUCGCACUUCUCAAAUCAAGGAAUGCUGCUGCCCCUGUUGGCUGCACCACACCGGCAAGGUCACAUCCCGCCCACAUGCGCGCACCGCCCACCUGCAGGUGCGUGCCAUCUGCCCCCGCGUCAUCACGGGAUGAGGACGCGGACGAGGGCGGCGGCAGGUUUAUCGCAGCAGCGCCGCCGUCGCCAACACCUGCACGCCCAACCACAGGCAGGCAGGCAGUAGGGGUCAAACCUGGGAAUAGUUAUGAGGGGUUACGCGGGAAGGGAGGGCACCACGGCCGGGACGGUGCGAUUGGCGUGCGGUUUUCCGUAAGGUGGUAGUCGUCCCCCGCUCGCAUACUCUUAUACUUGAUACUUUAUAUUUUGUACGCCCUCAUAACCUAAGUCAUGUAUCUGCAGGGGUUUCCGCCAAGGACAUGUAUCUACAACGCCGCUAUGACCAUGACCGUUGCUCUCCAGGCUCCACAAGGAUCUCAUCCCGGUGGGCCAGUCCCGCGUACCACCACUCCUCCGCCACCCAGCGCCAGAUGUCUGUGGGCAUCUCCUCGAUGCGCAAGCUGCCCCAGAAGUUGGCAACGGUGAGGCGGCAGCCGCCGUUGCCCUUGCUGGUGAAGGGGAAGCGGCGACGGGCGUGUGCAUGCCCUCUCUCCCUCCCCUUCCCCCGCUCGCAACCUGCCUCAAUUACUCAAUAUAACGGUUUACCCACCCGACGUCCUCGCUCAACUUGUCCCUGGUGGAGGCACACCGCCCGCGGUACACUCAGUUCCUGACCGGCGCGGCACGGACAAGGGGUCACGGUGGCCGUGCAGCCGGCUAGCCCCUAUUUACCCGUUAUGCUCACAGCAUGAUAUUAGCAAGAGCUCAGUCUAAAGUUACAGUGCCAGGUUCUAUAAGGUCGAAACGGUGGAAAUCGCACGCGCAAGAGCAGUGUGUUGGCAACAAGGCCCUCGUUUGUAGUUUAUGCAUUCUUUAGAUAACCCUUGAAGCAGGUAGGGCGUUUGUAAAUCAGGAAGCGACUAUGGGACUAGCCCCGGUCAUAGGGUCUGCCCUGGCCCCGGUCAACCCAGAGAAGAGCGUCUUGCAGUUUACGUCAUGAGUGGAACAAUAAGUUAACAACACGGCUCAAAGCUCGGCACAUCUACUUCGGCACACACCCCGACAGCCCAAACGCACAUGGGACACUUCCUCGUCCAUAAUACCCCAUUGCGCAUCCCUUCAUAUCUCGGGCUGUUGGUGACGGCAUGGUUUUGCGCUUGCCGUAUGACGCUGAUUCCCCGCCCCCCUCGCCGUGAGAGGUUGUGCGUGGUUGGUGGCUAUGUGUGUGGGCAGGAUGCACGUGUGGGCGACCGUUCUAGUACCUGGACGCUUGCGCCCUGGUUAGUGCGUGCGCUGUGCGUGGGUCCUGCGGCCUAGACGUUUCCCGGCACUCCUGUGCCUAGGCUUGUGGCGUUGAGGCACAGCGGUGGGGCUCUGGCGGGUUGAGGCUUGGCUAGGACUCACUGUGCGCGGAGUCACACGGACUUUGCCCGCGGGAGCCGGGAGGGUUUGCAGCAAAGUCGGGGUUGGGCCCUGAUAGCAUGUGAUGGCUCGGCGUCUUCGGGAGCUGGGACUGUCCCCUAUGUAACAUCCGCAUCCAUAAUACCCCAUGAGUAAGACUCGCGUUUGGCCAUUUACAUCAGACAUGUUGCGCGGGAACAUCGAGGAUAGGAUUAUCCGCUGACUGCAUGGAGGGAUUCGUGUGCACCAUCAUCGACGCCUUCCGGGUGGGGCCGUAAACCGGGGGCAUGCACCAAGACGCUGCCGAGACAUGGCGAUGGGCUCCACCCGCAGCACUAGUGUUUCAGCACACGUAUGCAACGUAGAUAUUACUUGCUGCCAGCAGUCACCAGAAAGUCGCUUAGCUCAGUACAAAGUCCCCAACCUUGCGGUGAUUGCGCCCAGUAGUGUCAGUGCUUCCGUGCAGCCGCAAUUUAUCAGAUAUUUGAUGCCGAGAUGAUGGAUGCCGCGCUGUUUGCUGUGCUUUGCAGCAUACGCGAGGGGUUGAUGGUGGCCGUCGUGCUGGUUUUUGCGGGGAGGACGACCGCCCGUGGCGGCGGUAGUGGCGGCGGGGGCAGGGACGGCGACAACGGGAGGUGGCCCGCCGAGCCACCCCCCCCCACCGCAGGGUGUGCGAUGGGACAAAACAGGGCGCGGCAAGGCAGAAGAAAAGGGAGCCCGAAUGAGCCUGGAAAGUGGGAGACUGUCCAGGCGUGCGUCCCUCAGCCGUGCCCUCAGCACUGCUCAGCACACGCAACCCUAUGUCUCCGACAGCUGCUAUGCUCGUGUGCAUCCCCCUUUACCCCUUCUGUUGGCGACAAUCAUGGUCAAUUCCUUGCGUCUUAACAUCUGUGACACUCUGUGACCCUCCCCGGAUCAUUACGAUGAUGAGGGGGUCAUCAAACUGAUGCAGUGACUGCAUGGUCGGGCCGUCCUAGAGCUCGCCGAUCACGCUAACGUAUGCUCAUACUGCCCAUUGGACAUCAUGUGAAAAAUACAGGCUGCGACUGCGAUUGCAGCAUAGCCAACCAGACCGGUCCUGUGGUGCCCGCCUCGCGACCUGUUUUGCUGCAGACGCGCGUCCUUUUGGGCGUGCGUCAUUUAAGCUUACAUAGAGACAAGAUGGUAUUACAUUACUGCUUGGGGUCGGUGCGCGAAGGGAAAAUGGCGCGCUCGACCCAGCGCUCGACCCUGGCCUGCCCCGUUAAAGCUUUGCUGCUGGCUGUGGCUAUGAGCUACUCUUGCUGCAGAGCGGACUAUCUCGUUGGCGUUGGUGAGUUUGGCGCAGGCUUGCACAAUGGCGCACGCCCAGUGCGCACGCCCUGACACCCCCGCCUGCGCCAGUAUCAACCUCUACAAGUCCGCGUGGUCCCUCGUGGCUCCCACAACCUCUACUGCAGGCAUGGGCGACAUCACCGGCCCGGUCGCGGACGUCAACCUCAUGGUCAGUCAGCCAGGGGCCUCGGGGUAUGUCCGGGCGAUUCGCAGGCGCCCGCUACGGACGGCUAUGGGCAGCAAACGCACGCGCGGGGCAUGUGACUCAAAAACGCAUUUACAAUGCGCACUGCUAGGAGCGUGAGAUAGCUCGGCAGAAGGGCAGCCCCCACCAAAGGACAGCACAAGCGGCGCCUCCCGCCUGACCAAAACUACGCCCGCGUUCUCCUCCCGACGCCCUUUCCCCACCCACCCACGCUUCCCCACCCGCCGCUGCUGCCUCUUGCACUGCCGUUGCCGCUGCUCAUGCACGUGCAACCAGGGCUACGCCCAGCCACUGCAGACGGCCCGCGGGCUGCACACGCGCCUGUUCGCACGUGCCUUCAUGUUCGCGGACGCAGCAUACCCCAGGUGCGGCCGCCGGUGGCCGGGCCAUGCGGCGCGGUGCGGUGCGGACCGGGUUCCGGAAGGAGAAGGGAGGUUGCAGAAUACCAGCGCAAAGUGAAUUGAAUCCAAUGCAAAAGAGCGAGGAGGGGAGCGUGGCCUAUGCUGGGGCGUUGUAAAUACUGGCUCACACUAGCCCAAACCAAGCCAAACUAGCGGAGCACAGGCAGAGGCGGUAGCUAUGGCCUAUGGGGGCCGGAGGGCCGGGGAAAGGGUAGUUUGCACGCCGCAAUGAAAGCGCGUCCUUACAGGAAGAGACCAGUACCUUGGGUGUAAUGAGUGCGGGCGGACCCUUGCCUUCUGUGUUGUGGGGUCAGGAAUGGACAUGCCUGCUCCCACCUCUGCACUCCCUCCCGCACUCCCCCUGCACGCAGGCGGCGCUUUGUGUACGUGUCCGCUGACGCCUGCAUGGCCUCGCAGCUGGUCAGCCUGAGGGUAGUGCAGGCGCUGCAGGUGGGUGGGCGAGUGAGGUGGGUUGGGGGUGUGGACUGGUGGAUGGAUGGAGGGGGGAUUGUCAAACAUACACGUGUACAAACGGUACACACCCAACCACGGCGCUCAUGAUGAUGUUGGGGGUCAGAGGGUUGGGACUUGGCAGCGGGUGGAGGGAAGCACGGCGGGCGCCACGUGCGUACACAUACACACACGUGAGUACACACCUUGUCACAAGACUAAACCUCAACGGCCACCACCACCGGCGCCCCGCCCUCCCUCCCCUUUCUCCAUCCCGCUCCCUCACUCCUUCCCCUCCCGACCCCUCUCCCCCCCCUCAGGCCGAGUACGGCAAGGAGCUGUACGGCUUUGACAACGUGGCCAUCAGGUGCGUGUGCGUGUGCGUGUGUUUGUGUUUGUGUUCUUGUUUUCUUGUGUGUGUGUGUGUGUGUGUGUGUGUGUGUGUGUGUGUGUGAUGGUUGUGCAAGAGUGAAGCAGGGGAUGAGGAGGCAAGCAGGGGAUUAGGAGCGAAGCGGCGGAGGGGGUGGAAAUGAAGGCACUGGCCUGGGCAACGGGCCUCAUACCACAUGUCGGUAUCAUAUGGCCUCCUCUGCCCGCCUCUUUACGCGGCACCUGCUGUGGCAAUGCAAGCUCGCACAGACUCACAAAUCCCCCCCAGUCUGCAGUCUACGUCUUCUCGAGUUAUUUAACAUGCAUGGAACCCCCCUUGUGUGAGACUCUCUCUCCUCCUCCCGCGGCACUAACCCCGGCCCCGCCCCGCCCGUUCCCCUCCCUCCCCCGCUGCAGCGGCACGCACACGCACGCCUCCCCCGCCGGCUUCCUGCAGUACCUGCUGUACGACAUCACCAGCCUGGGCUUCGUGACCCAGAGCUUUGAGGCGAUGGUGGAGGGCAUACUGGUGGUGGGUGCGGGGGGGGGUGUAUAUAUCAGCCCAAACUAAACCAAACCCAAUGCAAUAGAGCAAGGAGGAGAGCGUGGCAGAUGCUUGACAACGGAGUGGCACGCGGCAAUCGUCCCCAUUCACGAAAUGCACUGAGUUCCCAGGUUCCCAGCGAAACAUCCCGCAAACCGGUAGAAAGAAGGCGAUGGGCUCUUCGGUCUUGGCGCAUGUGGGCGGUGCUGACGGUAGCCGCCCUGAAAUUACCACCCAGGCUCACCCACACGCACGCACGUUCUAACUAGCAAUGCAGACAAGGCACACGUUGAAUACCCACCUAGAAGACAUUAAGGGCGCCGAGGAGGAGACCAGCGCCAGGGAAAACGGCAACAGCAUUCUAAGUGCACGAGCCUGGGUGGCAAGAGAGAGGGAUACAGGGGGGUGGGAGGGGUUUUGUGAUGAGCGCGCGCGCGCGCGCGCGCGUGUGUGUGUGUGUGUGUGUGUGUGUGUGUGUGUGUGUGUGUGUGUGUGUAGCUACACCCUUGCCAUGCCUGCCCCCUCGCACCGUUGCCUCUCGUGUUUCUUACUAGCCUUAUUACACACAAACCCUCCUUUCCCUCGCCCUGGUCCUCCGAAACUGCCGACGGCACACCACUUCCUUCACCAAUCAUGAAUGUAACGCCUCCGCCUAUCGCUCUGUGACCCCGCCUUCCUCUACCUUCCCCUGACUUUGCCGUCCUCACCCUGCCUUCCCCUGCCUGGCCUCAUGGCCUCAUGGCCUCAGGCCAUCCGGUCCGCGCACGGCUCCCUGCAGCCGGGGCGUGUGCUGCUGGCUGCGGGGCGGCUGGCCGGCGGCUCUAUCAACAGGAGCCCCACCGCCUACGCUGCCAACCCGCAGGAGGAGAGGGACAUGUGGGUGCAUGGGGGGGAGGAGGAGGGGGAGGCGGAGGAGAAGGGGGAGGAGGGGGCGGGGAGGAGGGGGAGGAAGGGGCCCGCGCGGGAGGAGAGGGACAUGUGGGUGCGCGCGGGGGGAGACGGGGGAGGAGGGGGAGGAUCCCCGCGUCGGAGGAGGGGGAGCAGUGCUCCCAACCUGCUGAGCACCUUAGUCCGGGACGAUAUUUGAGGCUCUGCGUCGCGUUGCCGCGACAAAAAGCCCUGUCAAUUCGGAUCGUUUUUCUGUACAGCCAGUUCGAAACCACUCUUGGAGAAGCAGCGCGGAGGCCUUUGCACAGAGGCACCCGUGCUGCCUUCUUGAGAGAGGCUUUGACGAGGGAUCUCGAAGGAGGCAGCAGCUAGUGCGAGCAAGGCUAUGUCACAGCGUAGCGACGUGGCCAUGUGGGGCCUCGGGAAACAGGGUAAACCCACUGCGUCUGCGUCAGUUGUUGGGUUUUGAGGUUUGGCCCCUGUUGGAUUGCACAGUUGUACAGUUGUACGGCUGUACGGCUGUUGCCCGCCGCUCCUCCAGGUCUCGACCCUUGGCCUCUCCACACACACCGUGGCCUCACCUCCCCCCUGACCUGGCUUUAGUUCGGGCUGGCCCCACUUCUUCACUUCUCAAGUGUAACCCACGAUGUAACCCCACGAUGUAACCCCCCAGGUACGACUCGGAUGUGGACACAGACAUUACCCUGCUGCGGCUGGAGGGAGGAGGGCCGGCAGUAGCAGGGGCAGCAGCAGGUGCAGCAGCGGCAGUAGCAGGCCGCGGCAGUAGCAGGGCUGCAGCAGUUGCGAAUUACGCGGGCUUGGGCUUGGGCGCCCUGAGCUGGUUCGCGGUGCACUGCACCUCACUCAACAACACCAACCGCCUGGUCAGCGGCGACAAUAAGGCCGCGGCAUCACUCAUGUUGGAGCGGUGGGCGGCGGAGGCGGAGGCGCGGGCACAGGCGGCAGAGGCGGAGGCGGAGGCCCAGGCAGAGACGCCGACUGGAGGGGCGUUGGGUGCUACUGCCGGCGGUGGCAGUAGCACCAGCGCAGGCGGCCAGGGGUUGGGGCAGGGGCAGGCAGGCAGGCAGAGCGGGGGUGGGGGCGGGGGCCAGGCCGAGUCGGCCGCUUCGUCCUCACCGGCGGCGGCGGCGGCGGCGGCGUGGGCCGCCGCGCAGUCGGCGGCGGCUGCCGCGGCGGCGGCGUCUGCGGCUCUUGGGCUGCGGCUUGAAGACCUGACCAGCCCCGACCCGGAGCAGGCGGCAGCGGCGGCGGGCGGCCGGGCUGCGCGGCCCUUCAACUUCCACCUCCUGACCAGCUCCUCAAAGGCCGCGGAGCCCGCGGGGGAAGAGGGCGGCGGCGCGGGCGUGGGCGGUGCGGCUGGCGGGGGAGGUGAGAGAGCACAAGCAGCAAGGGCCGGCGGCAGAACCACCCGUCAGGAGCAGCAGCAGCAGCGGCCGCUGCGGUUCAGCCGGGGCUUUGUGGCGGCUGUGGCUCAGGCGGCGGUGGGUGACACCAGCCCCAACACCGCGGGGGCAUACUGCCUGGACACAGGUGGGCGGGUGGGGUGGCUGGGGUGGUGGCUGGGGCUGCGGCAGGAGACUUGCAUGGCAUCGUUCCGUGCAUGGAUAACUACCCCUGUCCUAGCUCUCAAGCCCCAUACCCCCGUGACCCUGGAACCCCCCUCGCCUCGCCUCGCCUCCCCUCGCCUCGCCUCGCCUCCCCUCGCCUCCUCCCGCUUCCAGGCCUGCCCUGCGAGCCUGCCCACAGCACCUGCAACGGCCGCAACGAGCUGUGCCACGGCCGCGGACCCGCCUGGCCGCACGACCGGGCGUCGGCCGCCCUCAUUGGUGGGCGGCAGGCGGAGGCGGCGCGGCGGCUGUACCUGGCGGCGGGGGAGCAGGUGCGGGCGUGUGUGCGUGUGUGUGUGGGUGCGUGUGUGUGUAUGUGUGUAUGUGUGUGUGCGGGUGCGUGUGUGUGUGUUUAUGUGUGUGUAUGUGUGUGUAUGUGUGCAUGGUCAGGGUUGUUACCACCAUUCCCUGCUUCAACUGUAAGGGGUAGACAUUCUUGGGGAACGGAGCAAUUAAACAACAACAGCGGGGGGCAGUUGCCACAACAGCAGCGGGUGGCGGGGCGUGGAAGGGCGUGGAGGGGACUGCAGGAGCCGCGUGGCAGCGCCCUCCACCACAACACAGCCCCUGCCUGCACACUCCCCUUACCCCUCCCCUACACCUGCUGUCUGUCUCGCUACACUUCUCUGUACCAUCUUUGCUAUCCUCCUCCCCUCCCAGCUUCCCCCUCCCCCUCGCCGCCCUCAGGCCCCCCUAACCGGCCCUCUGGCCUACCGCUCCUCCUUCAUCGAUAUGGCCAACACCUCCGUGGCGCCCGUCAACACCAGCAGCUGGGCGGCGCGCGGCGGCCGCACCUGCCCGCCAGCCAUGGGCAUGAGCUUCGCCGCCGGCACCACCGAUGGUGGGUUCGGGUGUGGGUGCGUGGGUGGGUGGGUGGGUGGGUGGGGGUUGUAAAUACCAGCCCAAACUUAAUAAAACCAACUAUGACGAGCGCAGCACAGGCAGGGGGACUGACGAGUGGGAAGGGAGUUCGGCGAGACGGGGUUGGGGGGUGUCAGCGCGAGUUGUGGGUUAGGAGUGGCGACUGGAUCAGAGACAAGGCGACAAUAAUGGCAAGUGCUCAAGGUGGCGGGCAAGCCGGGUAAGCCGGGUAAGCCGGGUAAAAGAAGUGUUUACUUGACCUCUCACCUCGCUACCAUCCCCCCGCCCUCCCUCCGCCUCCCCCUCCACCCUCUCGAUAUACACACACACGCACGUAGGCCCGGGCGCGUUCGACUUCACCCAGGGCGACACGCGCGGGCCGCCGCUGUGGCGCCUCGUGGCGCGGCUGCUGACGCCGCCCUCCCCCCAGCAGGUGAGUGACGCCCGCCGCCCCCAAUGGCGGCUGCAGGCUCUCCUUGCAGCGCGGCUGUUUCCCUACGGGAUUGGUUCAGAGUCAACCCCCAAUUGCUGUCCCCUAAUUCCCCUUCUUGUAGCCUGUGCCCAAUGUUUUUAACCUUGCACCUCGCUCCGCUCGUUUUCGCUUGGUUUGGUGCAGUUUGGGCUGGAAUUUACACCCCCCCCAACAUAAAUGUAACCCCCCCCCCCGCUGGACUUCACGGACAUCGGUAACGACUACGUGACAUCUGUAAUAUUGCUCCUGGCUACGCCCUCUCGUCUUAUUUAACAUGCAUGGAACCCCCCAAACAGGUGGCUUGCCAGGCGCCCAAGCCAAUUCUGUUGGACACGGGGCAGAUCACCGUGCCCUACCCCUGGUGAGAGAGCGCCUGUGUGUGUGGUGUGUGUGUGUGUGUGUGUGUGUGUGUGUGUGUGUGUGUGUGUGUGUGUGUGUGUGUGUGUGUGUGUGUGUGUGUGUUUGGGGGUGUUUGUACAUACCAGCCCAAGCUAAAAGAACGCCUCUGUGUGUGGGGGUGGGUGGGGGUGGAGUGGGGGUGGGGGGUUGCAUUCAUGAUUAUUGGGGGCGAUUCGGAUAUACCAGCCCAAGCUAACAGGUGGUGGGGCUGUUUGGGGGAGCAGUGGGAGAUGGUAAGCCACGUGGCAGGGGGAGAGCUGCUGGCCAGUCCCUCUCCGCCCCCUGCCUGGUGCGUGUGGUGGGGAGGGGGCUGAGGGGGAGGGCUGCUGGCAGCAGUGGCUCUGUUGCAGGUGUACACGGCCGCUUGUAGCAUGCCCGCUUUCGCCUUCCUUUCCCGCUGGCCUCUCCCCUGACGUCGGCACUUCAUGCUUAGUGAUGUGCACGCUGCCCCGCUCAUUACUGCUUACAACUCCCUCUCCUCCCACCUACUCCCAUCGUCUCCUCCCACCCCCUUCCUCCUCCCACCCCCUUCCUCCUCCCACUCUCUCCUCCCACCCCCUCUACUACGCCUUUAUUUCUUCUUGGAUGUAACCCCCUCCACCUGUCCGCCCCGCCAAUCCCACCAAUCACCAAUCACCACCUCCCGCCCCCUUCCGCCUCCCCCCCCUUCCUCCCGCUCAGGCAGCCUCGCAUCACGCAGGUGUCGCUGCUGCGGCUGGGGCACCUGCUGGUGGCGUGCCUGCCGGGGGAGCCCACCACCAUGGCUGGCAGGUGGGGGGCGCGGCGUGUGUGUGUGUGUGUGUGUGUGGGUGGGUGUGGGUGGGUGUGGGUGUGUGUGGGUGUGUGUGGGUGUGUGUGUGUGUGUGUGGGUGUGUGGGUGUAUGUGUGGGUUUUGGGGGGGGGGGGUUGGCAAAUACCAGCCGAAGAGGAGGGGGUGGGGUUGGGGUUGGGGGAUGACUUGAUGAGGGUAUGGGGGAUUGCAAGUAAGGGAUGGGGAAUGUGUACAGGCCCAAGGAGGGGGUGAGGGGUGUGCGCACGGGCGUGGUUGCGGAGUAGCGGAGGACUGGAGCGCAAGGUAACUCGCAAGGUACAUAUCGGCCACGAGGGGCGCCGCCGAUGUCGGCGCGAGUUUCCUACUGCCGCCAUGCAUCGUGCGCCACCAGUGCCCACCACGGCGCAUUGCCACAGCCGUCCGGUUCCGCCCCAUUCACACCUCCCCCACACCACCAUCACUACCACCACCUGCAAUGUGCACGUCCACACACACACACGUCCCCAGCACACCACCAGCACACAAUCCGGUGGGCUCGGCGAAAGAGCGGCGGGCAGCCGAGGCCACCCGCCCGCCGCUAUAAGCCCCACCCACAGCAACACACAACCCGGCUUCCUUAUGACCCUGGGGCGCACAGGACCAACCCCAGCGGACAGAUACGGGCCGCACACUACUAACAACAACAAGGACAAUAUCCCUUCUUUCUUUGGCAUCACAACAUAGUAAGACGCAACACAGCACCCCCACCUCGCGUCCCAAUCUCUGAUAAGGCAAGGUCGCCACCCUAACCCGCCACCGCCACCGCCAUCCCCCCCGCUUACGGGAUUGGUUCAAGGUUUACCCCCCGCUGCCAUUCCACCCUUCACCUGCAAUCGCACCCACGCACUGCCAUUCCACCCUGCGCCCUGCAACCUCCACCCUGCACCCCCACGCCCGCGCGCCCGCAGGCGCAUCAAGCGCGCCCUGGCCGCGCGCUUCGCCGCCGCCGCCUCCCCCGGCGAGCCGGCGCCUGUGGUGGUGGUGUCGGGUCUGACCGGCACCUACAGCUCCUACAUCACAACAUGGGAGGAGUACCAGGUGGGGUUUGUAAAUACCAGCCCAAACUAAAUCACAAUCAAAGAAAACGAGCGGACCACAGGCAGAGGCGUUAGUUGGGGGGGAGAUGGGAGAUGGGAGCGGGUGAUGGGGCAGAUGGGAGAUGGGAGCGGGUGUGUGAAAAGGUAUGAGAUUGGAGUGGGCACGGACAGAGGGCACGGUCUGGAUGCAGGAACCCCAAGGCGCAGGGUUUGGGGAGGGGCUGUCGUUUCCUACGAACACACAUACAUGCAUACAUCCUCACGGCACACGGCGUAUCCGCGUAACUUCAUUGGAUGCACACACACACACACACACACACACACACACACACACACACACACACACACACACACACACACACACACACACACACACACACGUACUACCAACCCGCACGCAGGUCCAGCGCUACGAGGGCGCCUCCACGCUGUACGGCCCACACACCCUGGACGCCUACAUACAGGUGGGGGCCGGCCUCCCGGGGUGUGCGGGGUGGGGUGGGGUUGCAAAGAUGGGGGGUUGGGGUUAGCCGUUCAUGAGGAGAAGAGAGUGGUCAAAUCACAAGUAUGAAGUACCGACGUGGAGGGGGGUUUGUUUUUGGGAGUCCAGACCACUUCCUUAGCUAGUCAUGAAUGCAACCCCCCGUUCGCCCCGUUCCAAGUGGUUACCCCAUAAACUCACAAACACAUACACACAAACCCAAACCCAAAACGCCCUCCGCUCACAAACAUGUACUCCUCACCACCGUGUCUCCAUACGGUACACAAACCCAAACGCCCCACAAACCGCCUCUCACACACACGCACACGCCCCCUCCCCCUUCAGGAGCUGCUGGCGCUGGCCGACUCCAUGCUGGCCGGCACGCCGCACGACCCCACCGCCGCCGGCUCCACCGCCCCGCCCGACCUGCAGUCGCGCCAGUGGGCGCUGCUGCCGCCCGUGGUGCUGGACGCCGUGCCGCCCGGGGCCGUGUUCGGACAGGUGGGGCGUGUGGAUGAGGGAGGGGGAGAGUCAGGUGGGGAGGGUUCGGGUGAGCGGGACUGUUAUUGCCGUUCAGGGUUAGGGUGAGCGGGCAGAGCGAUGGGGGGUCGGCCACGGGUGGUUUUCAUCAUUCCCUUAAGGGGCGGGGAUGGGAAUCGCCGGGCCGAGUGCAUGCAGCGUAAGCCUGUGUCGAAACCCAAGCUCUGUCACAUGCGCCCACACCGACACGUUCACAAACACACACAUACACACAAACACACGCCCCCCACGCGCAUUGCAUGCACGCUUUGCGUUUUCCAGUUCUCUUAUUUCCAACACACGCCCCCCCGGCUAAGUGCACGCUGAGUUUUAUGUCGGGAAUGUCGACUUUGUUUCAUUCUUCGCCAGCGGCUAAUCUCGUCGCUUCACAGGUACCGGUCUGCUGCUGUCACGCUUACACCGCCGCGCCCCCACACCACACACCACACACAUACACAAUCACUCACAAACACACUCACACACGCACUCAUAAACACACUCACAAACACACGCCCCCCACGGCCUGCUGCAGGUGACGCAGCAGCCCGGGCGGGACAGCUACGCGCCGGGGCAGGUCGUGAACGCCACUUUCAGGUGAGCGCUGGGCAGUUGCCCCGGAGGCUGAGGGCAUUUGGAGGGAUUGCGGUUUGCAGGGCUGGUCUGGUCCCUGGGUGCGUGCGUGGGGAGGGGGGGGGGCGGUGGGGGGGGGGGGGGGUUGCGCACCGCUUCCUCCUCUCCAGCUCCUCUGCCUCCAUCCUUCAGGCCAAUCUGGCCACAGUUCUUGCCGGCGCACGUUAGCACUCACGCCAUCUCGCUAUCCUCUCUCCUUCCUCUUCCUCCGAACUUUCAUCCCUCUUCAUUCCCUCACGCGUGCCGCACAUCACAGGGCCGCCAACCCGCGCAACAACCUGCACGCCAACGGCUCUUUCCUGACGGUUGAGCGCUGGCAGCAGUCCAAGAGCCGCGCCCGCCACCACCAGCAGCAACCGCCUCUCCAAGAGGUCAAAGGCCAAGGCAUUAGGCAGCCGGCGGGCGAGCAGCAGCAGCAGCAGCAGCAGCAGGGCGGGUUUGCGAAAGCGCUGGGUGUGCUGUGGCAAGCCUCCGGCGCGAGGCUGUGGCGGCUGCUGUCGCGAAGCACCGUGCAGCAGCAGCAGCCGGCAGCGGUUGCAGAGGUGGCAGUUGCGGCUGUAGCAGGGACAAGGGGCGGCGAUGCAGCAACAGCAGGAGCAGCAGCAGGGGCAAGCUUAGGUGGUGCGCAGGCAGGAGGGGUUGGCGCAGGAGCAACAGCAGCAACAGCAGCAGGCGUCCAGCAGGACGGGGAGGAGGUGUGGUUCGCUGCGCAGUCGCCGUGCAGCAGUGGGCGGAGCCUGCCAGCAGCCACGGCGGGCGCUGCAGCGGCUGAAGGAACGGCUGCUGAGGGAACGGCUGCAGAAGGAGCGGCUGAAGGAGUGGCGGACGGGCCGGCUGCAGAGGGAGCGGCGGAGGAGGAGGGCGAGUGGGUGGCGGUGCAUGAUGACCGGGACUGGGUCACUCGCUUCCAUUGGGACAGGUGAGAGCAGGGCUGAGAGCAGGGGUGAGAGCAGGGGUGAGAGCAGGGGUGAGAGCAGGGGUGAGAGGUCGUGUCGGUUGUGCGGGUACGGAAACUCUUGAGAGGGAGAGAGCGGGUCCACUCGGGGAGAACUGGGGCACGGGGGGCUAGGCGUGCGGGCGCUCCAGUGCUCCCAGAUUGGCGCCCUGCUGUUUGGGCCGCACAGCCCACACUUCACACAAGCGUGCCCUUCAUGCAACCAUGCGGCAUGCCCGGCAGCGUGCGUGACUCGCUUCCCCUCCCCCGCCCCCACUGCACACACACACACACACACACACACACACACACACACACACACACACACGCACACACGCACGCACGCACGCACGCACGCACGCACGCACACACACACACACACACACACUCACUCACUCACUCACUCACGCACACACGCACGCACGCACGCACGCACGCACACGCACACGCACACGCACACGCACACGCACACGCACACGCGCACGCACGCACGCACGCACGCACGCACGCACGCACGCACGCACGCACACGCACGCACGCACACACACACACACACACACACACACACACACACACGGACCACCACAGGCAUGCGGAGCUGUCGCCGCUGUCGUACGCCACUCUGGUGUGGGAGGUGCCGCCCGAGACGCCGCCCGGCACCUACCGCCUGCGGUACCGCGGCGAUGCAAAACUGCUCAGCGGCGCUGUGCGGCCCUUCGAGGGCUGCUCCGCGGCUUUUCGGGUGGAGGAAGAGGCAGCAGCAGCAGCAGUGGAGGAAAAUGAUGGGUAGGAGGGGGUUGAGGAGGGAGGCGGCGCGUGACGGUUCGGUGCCGCGCUGCUUCCGUGCAUGCACGGGUGGGCGAGCCGAUUUUCAGGGUAGGGUUUUCGCGCUUUGAUUAGGCUUUGCGCCAAAAGGUUGAGGUGGCAAAAACGUUGCAUGCUGCAGGCACGAGCGCAAUGGUUUCAGGGCUUUUGUUUGCCCCCAAAAGCCCUUUAUAGUAUGAUCGAUGACGGUUGGGCUGGCAUCGCGACUGUGAAGUCAAGUCACAGCUAUGGGCAUGCACUUGUAGCGCAUUAAUCCAUUUAACCGCCUUAAUUGCACUACUCUCUUUCGAUUGGCGCCCUCGACGAACUAGUUUGCCCUCUUCAGUGGCGAAGAAGAUCCGCAAAGCGGGUCGCCUCGUCCGUCAAAGUAAAGGAAAGGUGAUUUCGCUUAUGGCGCUGCAUGCGCGAUACCAGGGGAGGAGCGGGCGGGCCCGAAGACUUUGAGUCUGUGACGCACGCAGAUGGCAGACCUCAACGUGCCCAAACGCGCGGUUCCACAACCUUCCCUCUCCUGCUGCUGAACGCUCUGAUUGACAUAUAAACCAUUUUGUAUCCUCCACAGGCGCGGCGGGCGGGUUUCGCCGCCGCGGACUGCUGUUUCUGGCGCACACGACACAUGGCGCUUUCCCGUCGUCCGUGACGCACAUGGCUUUGCCUGAAUGCGCGUUUUGCCAAAAUAACAAGUCUAGCGGCUGCUUGCGGCCUAGCCAGUACAAGGUCGCGCAGGCCGGUGCUCAGGUGCGCGCGAGGUGCGACCAAGGGGCCGGGGCCGGGCGUCUGCUCGCUGCGUGGCGGUCACGUCGGAGCUCGGCCGGAUUUGGCAGCAUGCCUGCCUGCCCUCCCCACCCAGCUCCCGUGUCCACAGGGCCAGGCCGGCUCCUCAUGUGCAACGGCCAUGGGCACUCCCCCACCUAACGCCUCUGCCUGCGCUUAGCUCGUUUUAGGGGGUUUGGUUUUGUUUGGGCUAGUAAUUACAAUUCCCCCCGCCUUGCGUGCCGCACGUGCCGUGCCGCCGCUGCCUGUGCGGCUGUGCCUGCUGUGCCCCGCUGCCUACCUGUGACCUCCCUCGCUCGCUCCCUGCAGGACCUGGUGCUGUUUGAGCUGCUACCGCCCUUCGGCCCGGGCGCCCUGCUGCACCAGCAGCAGCAGCAGCAACAGCAGCAGCAGCAGCAGACGGGGGGUUGCGGCAGCAGCUGCGAUGGUGACGGCAGUAGCAGAGGUAGAGAUGGCGACGGCAGUAGCAGUAGCGCCGGGCUGCCGCCCUGCUGCCUGCAUCAGUGCUAUCACGACGUACACAGGCUGCUGCUUGAGGCCUAUCCGCAACGGGCGAGCGAUGUGAGUAUCGUAUCUGACUGGUAAUAAAUAAGCUCGUUUGGUUGUGGUAUUGAAAGCCAACGACAGAAACAAGCGACUGAAGCUGGAAGGAAGGAAGGAAGGAAGGAAGGAACGCGGCGAGUGGUAUCUGACGCACACAGUCGCGCCCGAUGGAUGUCAUUGAAGUGGACAGCAUCCCACUUACCUCAUGACAUGAAUACACUUACACACGCACAUCUGCCUUCACUCCGCCCUCAGGUGUGGCGCUUCGUGUACCGGGGUCGGUGCCCCCUCACGGCCGAGCAGCUGCGCCACUCUGCCGGCGGCGACGGCGACGGCGGCGGCGACGGCGACGCCGGCGGCAACACAGCCAGGUGCGAUGGGGCAAUGGACACGGCGUGUGCAACAUUUACUAAUAUGCGAUCCCGCGGAUCAGCAAAACGGUGGCCGCUGGCUAGGCGUGCGAGGCCUCGUGCGUGGGAGCCUUUUGUUGGAUGGAUGGGGUGAGCAAGCCCAGCCACCGUUCGUCGGGUUGCCUAAAAUACACCGAUGCCGUGUGCGUGCGCAGCUUCGAGCCCUACCUGACCACCUGCCUGUGGCUGGGCGGGGAGGUGGUGGCGGCGGCGGCGCUGCGCCUCAACCUGCCGCCGCCGCCCUUGUCCGCGUCCUCAUCGGCGGCCGCAUCCACCAGUACUACUGGCGCCGGCAUUUCUCACGUCCAGGUGCGAAUUGUUGUCGGCGGGCUGUGCUACAUGCAUCACCACUGCCUUCCGUUGGUCUACUUGAUGUUCUUGCCGGGUCAAGCUUGCACAUAGAAACGAUCGAGCAGACUCUCCCAGCCUGCGUGCGGCCCGUUUUUCGGCAACGUAGCUGCAGCCUUCCGGCCCUCGCGUGUGCGCCUACCUGUUACAAAACGUGCAUCUGUGUGUGUACGGUAUAUGGUGUGUAUGUACGGCAGAUUGUGCUCCAGGCCACGACGCCGCGGCUGCAGCGGCGCGGGCUGGGGCGGCUGCUGACGCGGUGUGUGAUGAGAGCUGCUGUUCAGGAAGGGCACCAGGUGAGCGGGCGGGCGGGUGGGUGGGUGGGUGGGUGGGUGGAUGGGUGGGUGGGUGGGUGGGUGGGGCCGGGAGUGGGUGGGGCUGGGAGUGGCGGUGGGGAGUGGUGGUGGGGAGCGGUGGAGACAGGUGGGAAUGAAGCGAUCGUGGUUGUGGUGGUGGGGGGCGUUCUUGUGCCCGAACCUAUUGAGAACGUCCCAUCAGGGAUAAGGGCGAGCAGUGGAUGGGUUACAUGCUUGCACCGCAUGUAUUAAAUUGACCGUGUACGUCUGGGUUCCAAGCGCUAGGUCGGCACAUGUGUGGGGUGCAGACAGACGGCAUGCCAUGCUUUGACUCCCACGCCAUUGCCACCGGCGUCUUGCCUCACACCCCAUCCGCCGUCCCCGCGCCCUUGCCCUUGCAGUACAUCACGGCAUUGGCGCCGCCUCCGCCGCCGCCCAGCAGCACGAGUGCCGCCACCGCCCCCUCAGCCGCCUCAACCACCACCUCAACCACCAUCUCAACCACCAUUUCAACCACCGCCUCAACCGCCGCCGCCGCCGCCUGCUUCCUGCGCAGCCUGGGGUUCCAGCCCGCCCCCGCCGCGCGCUACUCGGGUCUGCCACUGGCGCUGCUGCCGCUGGGACUGCACCUGGUGCUAGAGGCCAGCAGCCGCACACACCCGCCCUUCGACACACAGCAGCAGGGGGCAACAGGAGCAGGAAGGGGUGCAGGGGGCGCAGGCGGUGCGGGGGGUGCUGCGGAGGCGGGGGAAGCGGCGGGCGUGUGGUAUGCAGAGCUGCCGCACGAACCCGUGCUGCAGACGGCAUGUCUGACUGGCGACACUGCAGGCGCCGCGGAAGGAGCGGGAGGGGCGGCUGCGGCGGGAGGGGCGGCGGGCCGCGGCAGGGCCGUCGACAUGCUGGUGCGUGGCGUGUGGGUGGGGUGGGGUAGGGUGGGGCUGGUAGGGCGCAGCAAGAGGCGCAGGUGGUCUGCUGGCGAGGGCGGGGUUUGCGGGUUUGAGACAGGGCGUGCGGAGCUGGGCGCGCAGAGGCAGGAGAUGUGUUUCUGCUUCCUGCGUAGCAUGACGGACUGGCGCCCGCGGCCGGGCUACCUCUAUCUAUUUUCGACCGGGACGCCGCAUGUAGUGCGCCAAUGCUGCUGCACCUCACACCUCACAUCUCAUACCUCAUACCCCAUCACCUCCUACCUCAUCGCCUCAUGGCCUCCAGGUGAAUGAGGCGGCAGCUCGCGUCGCGGCCGCGUUCCGGGGCGCUGCACUCUCUGUUGCCGCAACCUCGGCCGCAGCUGCGGCGCCGGACGUCGCACCGCCGCGGCUGCAGGGCGCGGUGGUGGCGGCGCAGGCGGACAACCUGCCGCUGCCGUGUGUGGGCCUGAUGGAGGCACAAGCACGACUGCCGCCGCAGCCGAUGCGGCAGGAGCAGCACCAGCCGCGGCAGCCGCCGCUGCUGCAACCUCACUUGCAGUUGCAGCAGCAGCAGCAGCAGCAGCAGCAGCAGCAGCCGCAUGUGGCACCGCCCCCGACGCCAGUCACCGUGCCGCCGCUCGCGCGUGGGAGAGUGGCGGCUACGGCGGCCGCGGCGGUCGCACCCGCGCCCUCCUCUGUACCCGUGCCCUCCCCUGCACCCGCGCCUUCGCCACCUCCAGUUGCAGUGCUUGUGGAGCAGCAGCAACAGCAGGAGCAAGGCGAUCAUGAGGCGGUUGGGCUUGUUGCACCCACGUCUACAGCUUCUGUGGUUGUGCGCAAGCGGCAGCAGGACCACAGCGAGCAGGAGCACAUGGAUGCACAUGGCGGCGGCGGCGGCAACCUGGGGGAGGAGGUGGAAGUGACGGAGGCGGCGGCGGCGGCGGCGGCGCAGCAGCAGCAGCAGCAGCAGGACCAGAGCGAGCAGGAGGACAUGGAGGGUGAGAAUGCCGGAGCGGGCGGCGGCAACUUGGAGGAGGAGGGCGGCGGCAACCUGGGUCAGGAGGUGGAAGUGACGGAGGCGGCGGCGGCGCUGCAGCAGCACGGGUGGCAAGACGCACCAGCGGCGGCGUCCGUUCCUGCCUGUGGUGACGACCCAGCGCGGUGUGGGGAUCCUCCGCUGCCACUGCCGCCGCCACCGGCUGCGCCAUCGCCACUGCCACCGCCGCCGCCACCGGCUGCGCCACCGCUGCUGCCGCCGCCGCCAAAUGCGCCAUCGCAGCCGCCAUCGCCGCACGCUGCCCCGCACUCCGCCGACAGCUACCGCAUACCCACACGCGCCGUGGAAGCCCUGUUUGGGCGCGAGGUCGCAGUCAGCGGCGUGCUGCCAGGGUGGAGCAGCAGCAGCAGCAGUGGCGGCGGCAGUGGCGGCGGCGGUGGCCCGCUGAGGCUGCCGCUGCUGGUGCCGCCGAACCAGCGGCACUGGGCCCCGGCGGCGACGCUGACGUGUGAGGUUAACGUCAGCAGGGCAGCCGCAGGAGAGCAGCAACAGCAGCAGCAGCAGGAGAAGGGGCCGCUGUGGCGAGUGGAAGGGCUGGGUGAGUGGAGGCGGCGGGUGGUUACGGGCCCCGGCUGGAAGCUGAAGUUCACGCCCGUAUGGCGGCAGCAGGAGUUGCAGGCGUGUGUGUGCGGCGUGGAGGCAGGGGACACUGCCGCUGGCGGCGGCACUGCUGCUGGUGACACUGCCUGCGGCGGCUGCACUGCUGGCGGCGGCACUACUGGCGGCGGCACUGCUGGCGGCGGCAGCACGGCUGAUGGCGGCAGCUGCCGCUGCGCCCUGGGCCGCGUGGUGGUGGCUGUGGAGGUGAGCGCGGUCGACACGUCGGGCGCCCGGCAACCCAACCAUCCAGCUACAGUCACAGCAGCCGCAGCAGCAGCGGAGCCGCAUCCGCACGUCACGUUUACGCCUGUUGCGACCACCUGGUCAUCAGGGGCGGCGGCUACGGAGGCGGAGGCGACGGGGGCGGCGGCAGCGGCGGCGGCGGCGGCGGCGGCGGCUGCUUCCUCGGCGAUUUCCCCGGCGGCGGCUUCCCCAGCGCCCAGCUCUGUCUCGGUUGCCGUGUCGUAUGCCACCACUGCCGCCGCCGUCAAUGCCGCCGCGGUCUCGGUCGCCGUGUCUGUUAGCGUCUCUGGAGAUGCGGAUGAGGUGGGGCAGGCGAGGCCGCCGCAGUUGGCGGCGGCGGCGGCGGCGGCGGAUGCGGCGGCGGGUGCGGCGGGCCGGUCGGAGGACGGGGAGGCGCAGUCGCCGGAGUGGCCGAAUGCUGCAGCCGCAGCGGAGGCUGCAGGCGGGCGGCAUGCGGAGGCCGCUGAAGGGGAGGAGCAGAAGGCGUCAGAGGAGGAGCAGGAGGCGUCAGAGGAGGAGCAGCAGGCGUCAGAGGAGGACGGGGAGCAGGAGGAGAAGCAGAAGCAGGCGGGGACGGGAGAGGAGGAGGAAGAGGAGGCGGAGGCGGAGGCGGAGGAGGCGCAGGAGGAAGCGGUCGAGGAGGAGCAGGUGGAGUCAGACAAGGAGUCAGAGGGGGAGCGCGAGGUGUCAGAGGAGGAUGGGGAGCGGGUCCCUGAGCAGGCGGCGGCGGCAGCGCGCAGUGCGGUGGCUCCAGUGGCCGGGCCGCUGCGGCAUGCCGCUGAGCCCGGCUGCAGCGCCGGUCGCCGCCACGGGCCCGCUGCACCAUCACCACCAGUAACAACAACAGCAGCAACAGCCGCCUUGUCGCCAGCCAGAGCGGCAGCAGCAGCAGCUGCGGCCGUGUCGGCGCCCAACGUGCAGGUGCUCACAAGGGCCUUUGCGGCCUUCAACUUCGGUCACUGUGGCGUGCGCUUCUCUCUGGUGCAGGCACUGCUGGGCCCCGCUGCCGCACGUGACCCCGCCACGCCGCCUGUGAUCCUGUACGACGCAGCCACACGCGCGCCCAUCUCAACCGGCGCCCGCCUACAGAUCCGAGCCGCAUCCAGCAGCAGCAGCGGCAGUAGUAGCGGCCUCAGCAGGGCCAACAGCAGCAGCGCCGAGGCUGUAGCAGCGGACGGGACUGGUGCUACUGCGGCGGCGGCGGCUGCGGCGGCGGCGGCGGCUGCGGCGGCGGCGGGGGCCGGGCCGCGGAAGCGGAGCCCCAGCUCCAAACGGCUGCCGCAGUGCUGGGAGGUGGCGGGGCUGCGCCCGUGGCUCAAGGCGCACCGCGCGGCUGAGGGCGACCGCCUCGUCUUCACAGCUGCUGAGCCGCCCGGCGCCAUCGCUUCUGCCGCCGGCUGCUGCGCUGAUCGCCAUCAGCAGCAGCAGCAGCAGCAGCAGCAGCCGUGCCCCAGCUGCUUGACGUGUGGCGGAACGGGACGUGCGCCGCGGCUGCCGCGCGUCUAUCUGCAGCUGGUGCGGGCGCCGCCGCCGCCGCCGCCGCAAGGGCUGCGCUCGGUAGCAGCUGGGCCUGCGGCGGCGGCGGCGGCGGCGGCUGUGGGCACCGCGGACGCGGGCAACCCGACUUCGGCUGGUGAGCCCACAGCUGGUUUGGGUGCUGGUGCUGGUGCUGGUGGUACUGGUGUGGCAUCUGCCGUUUCCGGAGCGGGUUUUGGAUGCACGGGAGGACGUGGCGGCGGCGUUCCGGCGCCAGGUGGCGUCUUUGAAGGGGCCCGCACCGAGGCAGCUGCGGCGUGUGCCGCAGCCGCCGGUGCAGCUGCAGCUCUAAAUGUCAGGCCGCUGCCAUCACCGCCGGCUGCAGCUACUGCUGCUCCUAAUGCUGCUGCUGCUACUGCCGCUGCUCCUGAUGGAGCGGCGGCGGUCAGUGCCAGCAACCGCCUGGUGGUGGCGGCGGCCCAACUGGCGGUGGCAAGGCAGUUGGAAGCCACAGCCGCGACCGCGGCGGCGGUGGCGCGCGCAGCUGCCGUCGCCGCAGUGCGGGCGAGAGCUGCGGCUACUGCCAGUGCUACUGCUACUGCCACUGCUACGGCCAACGCUAUUUCUGCUGCCCACGCUACUGUGUCUAGCGCUGGCGCGGCUUUUACGGCCAGCGCUGCCGCGGCCGCUUCCACGACUGCCGGCGGCAGCACUGGGGCCGCCGCGGCUGCUGCACCUGCGGCUGCUGCACCUGCGGCUACUGCACCUGCGGCUGCUGCACCUGCGGCUGCUGCACCUGCUAUUGCUGACCGCGACCGUGCACCCAUCACCACCGCCACGCCUUGUGUGCCGCCACGCCGACUUGGUGCCGUGCCUGCUCGUGCGGCGGCGGCGGCGGUAGCGAGGCCGGCAGUGGCGGCGGCGGCGGCAGCACAGCGGCACAGCGGCGGUUCAGAGGCGCGCUUGCGGCAGGUGCCAGCGGGUGCGCGGGCGACGGGCGCGACCAAGAGGGCUCACGAGCAGCCGCAGCCGCCCCAGCCACUGCAAGCGCCGCCGCCGCCGCCGCCGCCGCACCAGCAGGACGCGGACGCGGACGGCGAUGACCCGGUGAUGAUGCUACUGCCGUCGUCGCCAAAGCGGCCCAGGCUACUGCCGGCGCGUAGCUCAAUUGUGCCGACGGUGUCGCUGGAGCUGGAUGAUAGGCUGCACACGGAACCGCUGCCGGUACAGCCCGCCGCAAGGCCGCAGCAACAGCAGCAGCAGCGGCAGCAUCAAAGCUCCUCGUCACCGCCGCAGACGCCGCAGCCGACGCAGGCAUUGCGACGGCAGGAGUCGCCAGCAGUGAUGCCGUACGACGGCAUGGGUGCCGCACGCAGCCCCUCCCAACAGCCGGCGGCCCCUCCCCCGCCGACCCAGGCCCCAGCACUGCUGCAGCCGUCGGCAGCCGUACUCACCCUCGGGCUCGGCGGCAGCUGUGGCAUUCCAAGGGCCGCGAUGGCUAGGGGCCGCGGCGGCGGCACGGCGCGGCCUUUCGGCAGCUUCGGUCAAGUCACCACUGAGGUCACAGGCCAGACGCACGUGUCGUCUCAGCUGCUGGAGCAUCAGCCGUGCGCCGUCCCCGUGACCGGCCCCAGCCCGCCGCUGCCGUACUCGGGUUUCACGCAAGCAGCCCAGACGCAGCCGCCUGCUGUGGGACCUGCGGCUGGGGCUGUAGCAGCUACAGCCGGCGGCGGCAGCGAGCCCGCACCUGAAUCGGCAGCGGCGCCAGCCAGUCAGGCGCCGCUACAGCAUCAGGUCGUGGCAGUAGCACAGCCGCAGCAAGUGGUGCCGCGCCAGACACCUGAGCCGGCUACGGCUGUAGCAGCUCGCCGCUCGCCGCAGCGGGUGGCGGCGCACCUGCAUGAGGCUGCUGCACCACUCGACGGGGCGACAGCAGCGGCGGCCGCGGCUACUGCGCCGCCUGCUGGCGCCAAAGCCGCAGGCGGCGCCAGGCUGGUCAAGCGAGAGGGCGUGCGGACCGCCUCCUCCUGCGCGGGAGCUAGCCCCGCCACCAGUAGCAGCAGCGAAAGCCACGGCACCAGCGGGCUUGGCGCGAAGGAGAUGCCUACGGCUGUGCAGCCGCCGGCAAAGCCGCUGUUGACCACGACAUCAGCAGGCGCCGCCGCCAGGCGCCGCCCCGUCUGCCGUGUUGGCCUCAGAGGUGUUGGAGCUGGUUGGGAGCCCGUUUCGCCGGCUGCGAUGGCUGCGGCGGAGGUGGCGGCGACGGCGGCGGCCGUGGAGGUGGUGGUGCAUCAGCGCAAGGCGAUGGGCACGGUCGUAAAUACUGAUCUGGACACAGCCCUGACCACCUCGCCAGCUACUGCUGCCGCUACUGCUUCCGCUACUACUGCUGCUGCUGCUGCUUGCAAGGGCAUGGGUCCAGCACGCAGUAGCAAGGGCACUGCUGGCACCGGUAGGACCGCACCGUCGACUGCUGCACCUGCCAUCAAGCACUCAGCAGCAGCUGCUGCAAGGGGCCUUGCCACACGUCCACCUUUGCCAGCAGCCACUUCCCGUGCCCCUGCUGCCGCCGCCGCUGGUGUUGGUGGUUUCAGUGGCAGCAACCGCAACACUACAGGCGGCAUCAAGCGCUCUGCCUCUGACUUCUCGGAUGACAUACAGCCAGACACUACCGCCGCGGCGGAUGAUGUGCCGCUCGCAAGCCGGCAGCAGCGCCUGCGGCAGUCGCUGCCGCCACAGCCGAAGCGCCCCAAGCUGCAGCCCACGACGCCGCGCAUAUCGGCGCAGCGUCUCUCACCUUCGCCGCCGCCAUCGCUGCAGCCGCAGGGAUCGCAGAUGCAGCCGCAGCUGCGUGUCAUGCGGCCACCGCCGCCGCCUCCUGUCGGCGGCGGGCAGGAACCCGUCGUUGUAGCAGCCAGCGGUCCGAACCAGCGGCAGCAGCAGCAGCAGCUGGGCGGUGGCGGUGGCAGCGACGGCGACAGAUUUGCAGCUACAGGGGAGGCGGUGGCGGCGGGCGGCCGGCAGGCGCUGUCUGCAGCCGCUGCGCCGGCGCUUGCUGAGCCCACACCGCUACAGCUGCUGCCGGAGGCGCUGGCUGAGCACUACCCCAAGGUCUUCAAAUUGAUGAUGGUGGGGCCCUGGGACUGUCUACGCACAACGUUUACAACAAGCAAAAAUAAUACGCAUAUGAUAAAUGUGCAUUUCGAGCCAUGUCAACCAAAGUCCUGGGGAGCCGCAAACGGAAUUGUGUUGGAUGAAGGGCGCGGCCACAAGACCCCACCGUUCGCCUCGCCUGUUGACGAGCUGUGCAAACCAGACGAACCCCUGGCACGUGCACAAACAGUGCUUGCGUGUCCCUUGGAAAUUUCCCUGCAGGCUGUGUGGAAGCAGGAGCAUCAGCACCAGCAGCGGCGGCGCGAGGGAGAACCCCGCCGAAGCAGCCCGUUCACGGCCACUGCUGGCAGCGGUGGUGGGGCAGGUGGAGGAGGCGGAGGAGGUGCUGGCAGCGGCGGCGGUGGCGGCAGCGGCGGCGGCGCGGCGGUGCAGGCUCAGCCGCUGCAGGUGGUGCAGCGCUACGCGGACAGCACCGGCUUGCAGUUGGAGGUGGGUGCAUGCAGUUGGAACCUGCCUCUUAGACGGAUCAUGGGAACGGACGGCGUAUGUGCCCGCAGUGCUCAGCAGGUGACCUGGGCUUAGGCUUGGUUCGCUGGUCGGGUUGGCGUGUCGCGUGUCCACACAUGCCCUAGCAAACCCUAGCUAUCUGGCUGUGAGCCUGCUGAUGCCUCCACACACAGACGGAGUUCGAGCGGCGGCGCCAACAGCGCCCUCGCCCUGCAGCUGCGGCCGCGGCCGCGACCCUGGCGGCGGCGGCUGCCGCUGCCGGCGGCUCGGCUGGCGGCAAUGCCGACGGUGGCGGUGACGGUGAAGGCGGCGGCGGCGGCGGCGGCAGUCAGGACGAGGUCGAGGUCUACACGGCCACACUGCGGCUCACCCCAAGGAGCAUGCCGGGCCAAGCCACCACCACGGCCACUGGGCAGGUGCGGGCACAUGAGAGAGCGUGGGUAUGAGCCUGCUGUCGCGUGAGGUAGACCGCGCGUGUGUUCUUGUGAUUUUGGGCCCAAGGUGGGGACGCCGCGUUCCUGCGCCAGGGGUCGGUUGGAGCGCACGUACGCUUGAUGACGGGUUUUUUCAAUCAUGCACAGCAAUGCGCUUACCAUACAGUGCGCAUAUGCGAGCGCUUCAAUGUGUGCUCGUGGGACCGCGACAGCCGCUUAUAAGUAAUUACACGCUUGCGCAUACACACGCGGUGGGUGUUGCACGUGUUGCCGGUCUCCUCAUCACACGCGCUCCCCUAUGCAUCCGCGCACACGAACACGCACAUGACCACAGGAGUCGCCGUGCAAGGAGAUGGCAAGGCAGCUGGCAGCGGCGGCGUGCCUGCAGCUGCUGCUGCUAAGCGGCGUUGAGCAGAGCGUGCUGUGGCCGCGGCCCAGGACGACACCGCCGCAGCCGCCAUCGUCCGCGGCACCGGUUGCCGGGGCGGCGGUGGCGGCUGCAAAGCCAGCAUGGAGGCGGGCUCCUGGCGGUCUCUGGCACCCAGCCGACAGCACCACCGCCACUGCUGCAGUCCACACCGCUGCAGCCUCGCCAAGUGGUCCCGCCGGCUGUGGCGGGGGCGUAGGCGGUGGUGGAGGUGGAGGUGCGAUGGCAGGCCAGGGCUAUGUGGGCGUAUGGCACGACGGGCCGCCGCUGCCGCCGCCGCCACCACCGCCGCCACGGAAGCAGCGGAUGUCGCAGCCGCCGCCACCGCCAGCACGGAAACAGCAGCAGCCGCCGCCACCACCACCGCCACCACGGAAGCAGCCGCCGCCGCCGCCACAGCAGUGGCAACAGCCGGCCUGCGCCAGUGAGCCGCUAUGCGUAGGCGGCGAGGAAGAUAAUGGCGGCGCACCCGGCGGUUGGGCCGCUGUCGACAUGGACUCCGCUGCUGCGGCGGCGGCGGCGGCCCUGGUGCCGCCGCCUCCAGUGCCGCCCGCCUACAUGCAGCCCAUCAUGCUGGACGCGCAGCAGCAGCAGCAGCAACAGCAGCAGCAGCAGCAGCAGCAGCAGCAGCAGCAGCAGCAGCAGCAGCAGCAGCAGCAGCAGCAGCAGCAGCAGGCUGCCAUGUUCCACGUGCAGCAACAACAGGCCUUCGUAAUGCAGCAGCAUCAGGCCGUGAUGAUGCAGCAGGGUCAGCAGUAUGCGUAUGCGGCGGCCAUGAUGAGGAUGGGCCCGCAGAUGGGAGGUCACAUGGGGGCCCAGCUGCGCGGCUGCAUGGGAGGUGAGAUGGGUUGGCAAAUGCAGUAUGAGCACCCGUUCGGCGGGGCGUUCGGUGCUGGCGUCGGAGGCGUCGGUGGUGCCGGUGGUGCCGGUGGUGGUGCCGGUGGUGGCACCGCCUUCGGUGGGUUCGGCGCCUUUGGCGGAGCGGGCCUGGCAGGCUGGGUGGCGGGCAUGGGUGGCGGUAUGUGGUGAUUUGACGUGAGGGGCAGCGGCAUUGGACGGGACGUGGGGAAGGAUUGUUGUCUGUAAGCCACGUGGAGGAGGACAGCGCGGCGCCGCCCGAGAAGCUGCGCUGGCGCGCGUGUCUGGUUAGCGGUCUCUGCUGGCGAGCAUAGCACAGCACAGUAUGUGGUAGGCCGUAGCAGUGAGGAGUGUUGUGGCUAGGGAAUUUCCUGCUGUUUGGCUGAUUGCUUGGCAGGGGGACGUGGCUAGACGCAUGGCGGGCCGUGCCGGUAUGAACCGACCCCGGCUAUGUCCGGGAGGGAGGUGCACGCUUGCGGCCUCAGACUAGAGACGUGGCCUGGGCGCAGCCCACGUUUCCCAUGCGAGGGGAAACCACAUAUCUUGUCUGUGAGAAUAUCUUGUGCUGCAGGGGUGCAAGCCUGGGUGCUGCAGGGGUGCAAGGUACACUACCACUUGCGCGGUAAGAGUACAUGUUGAGCAUGUUGCAUGGGUUUGGCCCUGCUGCUGAUUUCUUUAUUUUCAACUACCAGGGAAUCAGUUUUAUUUCGCUUCUGGAGGAUUGUCACAAGGGGCAUGUAUGGGCCCGUUGGCUUGUCGCAUACCGUACAUAGUCAGACCUGAGCGCAUACAUACAACGGUCGCAAGGUCUGUGGUGAAGACGCGUGCAAUUAUACGACAAUGCGUUGCAUCCAUUCGAUGCAGCAGCCAGCAUGAUGGCACAUAGCGCGCAUAACUUGUGCACUGGUGCAUACACGUACUGCUGUCAGAGACAUUCGACGGCGAUGCAGUCUUCAGUGUCGUUCCGUAUGGCGCGCGUAAGUACCGGAGUCCGUAUAGUACCGGUGGGUGGCUCCCCUCUGUAUAUCUUGUGCGUGCAGGGGUUCCUGUGAACCCCUGCGUGCGUGAGUCAUGCGAUGUCAUCAGAGUUCAAGGAGUGCCCCUACGGUACCGUAUGCACAUUCCGUACAUGUGUAGGUUCGCGCACGCACCAAACUUAUCAUACAUGCACUUUAUAGCUGCAAUGGGUUGGUUCGCACAUGCCACAUGUUCGCUUUGCUACAGAGCCAGAGCCUAGACCGCGAAGGUUGUAUGUUCAAGAAAUUGCUGAAUGGGUGUUGCAAAGUUGCAAGGUUUUGUAAUGCAUGAUCACGCACAGAAAAAGAGAUCUGAGAUUCUGAGGGACCUUACAAAGCACCGCUACCAGGGAGGUGACCUUAACCGUGUUCUCACCCACAGCAUCCAGCAGGGCCCACAAAUGCCUAGCUUUUGGCAUUCCCCCAGCCCUGUCAGGUGCGGCGUUGGCAAGGCCAGCACUACAACAGAAUCAAUCUAUCUAGCUCCUCACAUCUGCACAUCACGGACCAAGGCCGGACGUGGCUUUACUCGCCCCACAUCCCAUAAGUAUUAUCGCUUGCAACUAACGCCUCUGCCUGCACUCACGUUUUUGUUGGUUUUGGUUUAGUUUGGGCUGGUAUUUACAGCCCCCCCCCGAUGAUUUGGAAACUUCAUACACUGCGUGCCUCCAGCCCCCCCAAACCGUGUGCUCCGUACUUCCUGUAAACUCUGUACACUUACUGUAGUCUAGAGCCAUUACCCCCCUAUUGACGUUCGAUUCGGGGACCAUGCGGUCUGCAACCCAACGCCGCAACGCGGGCGAGAAUGGAUCCCCGGAAAUGCUCAAUCCUGCCCGCCCGAAAGCCUGCAUUGGAGUCCGCUCCUGGCCGCUCUCCCAAGGUUGCGGGUGUUGGCAUUGGAGUCGCUCCAGGCGCUCCACACAGCGCCCCCCUGCGGCGCCAGCAAGCAGUGGCAGCUAUUCCAGCACACUGGGCAGGCAGGCUGCUGAUGAUGCCGAAUCUGGAGUGCCGGGACGUUUAGGGUUUAGGGGUUUGGGGGUCGUGCCAGCGACCUGCUGCGCCUCGCCUGCCUCGGCGCCCUCCGCCCGCACCGGCACCGCUACAAUUGCCCCGUCAUUGCAGCAGACCGCCCACUCCACAAGCGCCAGCGGCACAAGCGCCGCCGCCCGUGCCAGAGUCUCUCCGAGCUCAAGCGCCGCGUCUUCCCACUGUAACCGAUUAAAUUCCGGCCCGUUGCUUUCACUGCCAGCUCACGCCGGCAUCUGCUUCUUCGGGCUCAAAAAGGCUGCCGCUGCCGCUGGCAUGGCCGCCGCCUGCACAUGCAUCGCUCGUGGCGCACUCCCGGCACCGUCGCUGCCAUGCUAGUAGCUGCUCCUGCCCAUGGUCAGCCGACGGCUGCCCUGAUGCUGCCUCUCCUGCUCCCUCUUGUUUCCUGCAGUUGCUAUGCGCGGUGCAGCGCUGUCAGCAGCAGGCAGCACCACCGCAGUAUGACUGCCGCGUCCCGCCAGGCCUCACUCCGGUGCGUGGCCAACCAACAACCCUCAGGGCGCAUUGCCGCGACGCAGCGCUUGCUGUCGCUCCCCGCACUCCGGCCGCCUAUGGCAGGACCUGAUCUGCCAUUAAUGACCGCAUCAGGCCCAGCCGCUGCUCUUGCAGUGGUGCCGCUGGUGCUGCUAAUAGCUCCGGCUCGGCAGGCGGUGCACCGGCGGCGGCACCAGUGCCCAGAACCGCCAGCGGCAGCGCAGCGGCCCUUCUCAUACGCGGUAUUCGCCCCACCUGGCACCCACCAGCUCUGGGGUGUUAGGUUGUGGCUGCUGCUGCUCCGGACUGCUCGCGGCGGCCCCCUGUGGCAUCUGCUAGCCGCCGGGUGCGGAGCUGCCCGCAGCGCCAUUCUCUUUUACCUCUGCUUCUCCAAGUGCCUGCACGAGCCACGUCACCACAUCCACAGCCUCCGUAAGCAGGCCCCUUUGCGCUCUCCUUGGAUCGCUUGGAGUGCCGCGACAGCAGCAGCUGUUGGUCGCUGUUGGUGGCUUCCCAGCAGCUGGGCAUAGCAGCGCAGCAGCACCGCAGGGGCCAGCGGCUCCGCGAGCAGGCGGCGACAGAGCCGGCGGACAAGCGCAACCAGGUCCGGGAUGGUGCCAUACAUCCGGCAGCUCAACUAGCUUUCCAGGCUUGUUAUGUAGAGCCCUAUUAUGUGCUGCUGCAGCCUCUCGGCUUCUUCCGGAGGGUGGCAUGUUGGUUGGCUGGGCUCCAGUGCUCUUGGUUUGCAUAGCCGGAUCGUAGUGUGACAGUGUUGAAGGUAGAAGCACUAAAACACGGAACUAUUGGCAGGAAGAUUACAGAGGCGCGGUGAUGUGACCGAUCCAUACCCGGGCCGCCCGCCCUGAGUCGACACAAGAAUUCAUAUUUAUUAAGGAUAUGUAUUAGCUUAUCGAUUCUAGGUGAAAUCGCUACCUCCGCACCCACUUUUACCCAGCUGUCUUUCUAAACUUGGAGAUUCUCUUAGCCCCGAUGAUGGCUCAUCGACAGCGCCUCAGAUACUGCACACGGUCAAAAUCACGGCUAGAAAAAGACAAGGGGCAGCGUGUGUGGAUCCCGGAGCUGGUGGAGCGCAUUGCGAGCUUCCUUCCGCAAAAUGAAAUACCGCUUACGCUACGUCUGGUCGACAAAACCACAGCAGAGCUCCUGUCGAAGCACCGGCUGGUGAAGGCGUUGGAGCCGCUGCCAGCACAUGCGCUUUGCCGGCUCCACCCCGCCGAGCUGCAACAGCUCCAGAACCGCUCUGCCAGUGAGCUCCGGCAGCUGGUGUGCGCCGCGGCUGCCACCGGCAGUCUGGAAGCAGUGGACGCGGCCCUGGAGGCGACACAGCUGAGCCCGGGAGCCUGGCUGGUCUCGGCCGCUGCCGGGGCGGAGGGCCUGCGCCCUGGCGUCGCACUGGCGCUGUGCAAGCGCCUGUGCGCGAGGGGCUGUCCCGUGGAGCAGGACCCGGACCACGUGUACAUACCGUGCUCCACACUCCGACACGCUGCAAAAGCCGGGAACGCUGACGUGUGCGAGUGGCUGCUCGCGCGCGGGCGCUGUCGUUGGUUGGCGGAGGCGGUGUAUGACGCGGCGGCCGCCGGGCAUGUGGGGCUGGUGCGGGUGCUGCUGGCGCGCUGCCCGGGCGAGCGCAAGCACAUGCUGGACGCUGGCCGCCUGCUCGUCAGUGCGGCUGGGGGCUACCCUCUACCGGCGCUGGAGGAGCUCUACAACCACUGGCUUGGAACGCGGCGGGCGCAGUUGCAGGGGCAGGGGCAGCAGGGGCAGGGGCAGGCGGCGCCACAUGAGCCGGCAGCGCCCGUGGACUUCGGUCCAGCCUUCGAUGAGGAGGCGCCCGACGGCUUUCAUUGCUUUGUCAGCAGCAGCGAUUUUGAGAGCGUGCUGGCGGCAGCUGCGGGCAGUCCCACGGCCUGCUGGCUGGGCAAGCUAGACGCGCUGCUGCAGUGGCACUGCGGCGAGGCUGGGCCUGGGCUGCUGGCGAGGAGCCCCUCCGUCCUCGACCACGUGUUCGUCGCCGCCAUGUCCAAGCCAGACGGGCUGAGCCGCGUGCGGCUGAUGUGGGAGCAGCGCGGCUGGCGGCCCCAGGACUUGAGGCCCGCGGCCGCGGCCGCAGCGGCCCGCGGCGACAUGCCUGGGCUCCGUCACCUCUACGGCGAGCUCGGUGCCCCCACCGAGACCCGGCAAAUCGAAUGGUAUGAUCCCUGCGCGCCGCUUAAAGCAGCGGCUCAGGCCGGGCAUCUGUCAGCCCUGCAGCUUCUGCUGUGCACCUACCGCCAGGGCUGCACGUCUAAGGCCUAUGACCAGCUAGUCAAGGCGGCGGCGGAGCGGGGCCACGUGGACAUUGUCCGGUGGCUGAUCGAGCAGCCGGCGCCGCUGGUGGUCGACAUGAUCCUGGCCGAGGUGCCGGGCGCCGACAGGGAAAGGGUGGAGAUGUCCGUUCGGCGGAGCGCAGCGCGCAUGGCUCUGGACACGGGCGUGUGCGGCGGGCGGCCUGAGGUGGUGCGGUGCGUGCUGCAGCUGGGGAUGGAGGGGGUGGCGCCCGGCAGCCGUGGGCACAGGAGGUCGGGCUCCAACUCCUGGACGCAGGCGGCGCUGUCGGGCAGCGCGGCCACACUGCAGGCGAUGGCGGAGGCGGGAUAUGCCGUGUAUGUGAGUGCGGGGGCUGGGAGUGGCUGGGGCUGGGCUGGGUCUGGGGCUUGGGCUGGGUCUGGGGCUGGGGCGGGGCGGGGCAGUUCCAUGGGCCCGGUCGUGGGUUUUGGCGGGUCCGCAGUCGCGCUUGGCACUGGCCAACAUUGCCAGGGAUUGACGAAAUGUACCGUACAGCAGUCGACUGUGCCGGAACUGAUAAUAACAUACGAGGAAUGGCCCAAAUGCGUGUAUGUGUGACACGUUCUUCCCCUACGCCAUUCCCCCGAUUUGGUGCUCGCCUACCUUACACGCCCACACCCCUUCCUGCACCCCUUCCUGCACAGCACUGUGACCUGUACGAGACCGCUGCGCCGCACCUGGCCGUGCUGCGCAUGCUGUGUCGCCUGCGCUGCCGCGGCCCCGGUGCGCACCUGGCCCUGGCCGCGCUGCUUGAGGACCCGGCCGUGCCGCUGAGUGAGCUGAGGUGGCUGCUGGAGGGAGAUGAUGAUGGCGCAGUGGCGGGGCCGUCGCGGGCUGCGGCACCGAGCAGGGACAGGGGCAGGCGGGCAGGCAACGGAGGAGGAGGGGCGGCAGAGGGCCCGGCGGCUGAGGCGCUGCGGUAUGAGGGCGAGUGGCAGCAGGCGGUAGAGGCGGUGGGGCGGCGGGGCCGGGGGCGUGAGUCGCGGGAGCUGCGGGUGUGGCUGCAGGCGUGGCGGCAGGCGCAGCAGGGCCGCAUGCUGCCGGGGCGCAAGCCGACAUACAUCACGCUUUGUUGAGGAGUGGUAGAUUGUGUGGGGCCGGGGCAGCCGCUGUUGAGAGCCCAAUGAAGGAUGGUGCCUGUAGUGAAGAAUGUCCCUUUAAAGUGCAUUGAGCUCACGCCAUGUUGAGCUAACGUAUCGUAUGGCAUGCAACGAGGCCGGUUGGUUUGUUGACUUUUUGGCGUGUGGAAGUGCUGGGACGGGCGCGGGUGACACGCUGCCGUUUGCCGCAUGGCAGCAGCCCUAGCGCGGGUGUGUCGAUUCUUCUGUUGGUUUCGGCCGCACCCGGCGGAUGCGGGAGGCGCCAGACUGGUGUGGGUUCGGGAGGCGACUGAUGAGCGGCCUGCCUGGCACGGGACUCGUUACACCGCUGUGGCGCUAGUUGCACGCGUCGGGUUUCGCUGCUGCUUCAAUUUCAGGGGUGCGAGACAGAGGCAGUAGUUGGCACCUGGACCGGUGGUGGACUAGAUUGACCCGUGGUGGACUAGAUUGACUCGUGGUGGACUAGAUUAACCCGUGAAUGCUGGGUCUGGAAGUCACUGCGACUGGCUUGGGUUUCGCAGUAUUGAGCAUAUCGUGCUACUUACUGUUGGUUACCGGUGCGGACAUGGACGACGAUAGCAAUAUCGCUUCCAACCAGGGCUUCCGCAAUGUCUCGCUGGGUCUGCCGGAGUGGGAGUCGGAGCGGCGCGAGGCUCUGAUGAGUGACGAUGACUUCAGCAUUGUAGAUGCCAUGAGCGCCAGCAGCAGCAGCGCCCUGGACAACGUCACACGGGUGCUGGACCGGGCGGCGGCUCGCGGCCGGCUGGCGGAGGCGGUGGAGCCCAACCCGCUGUUCGUCAACCUGGUGAGUAACUGGGAUGUGAUGAGCGCGAGGUGGUACGGGGGCGUUGCAAGUAAGGCGCUUUGCGUGCGUUACGCGUGGGUAACGAGCAGAGCUGCAAUUGGUGGCACGCCUCGCGCCCAAAGGCGCUCAGGCUCAGUGAUGAGCGCGAGGUGGUUUGGGGGCGUUGCGAGCAGGGUGUUUUGAGUUCAGCUCUUGCGUGCGUCGCGCGUGAAUGAAGAACAGAGUAGCAGUUGGUGGCACGUCUCGCGCUCGAAGGAACCCAAGCCUUAGCUGCUUUGCAACCUCGCCGAUACCAUUGCAUUCGCACAGGCUGUCGAUUUCUGCCUCGCAAAGCUGACGGAGGCUGGCGGGGAGGCGGCGGUGGCCGCGGAUGGUGGGCAGGCGGCCGUGGCAGCGGACUCGAGCGGCGGCACUGGCAGCGGUACUUCGCCGCUCGCCGCAGCUGCGGGUCUGCGGCAGCUGGUGUCGCAUCCGCAUCUGGGUCUGCUAGUGGGUCGCUCUACCCUAGCGGAGGUGCUGGUGCAGGUGGUGGAGAAGCUGCAGGAUCCCGAGCUGCUGGCGGCGGCCCUGGACGUGCUGCAGUGCCUGAUGAGCACCGAGGUGAGCUUCGAUGGCGACGCCGUUACCGCUGCCAUUGCCGUUGCCGCAAAUCGCGCUCCAGAGCAACUACUGGGUGCUCGAGGCAGGGGGCGCAGUUUGUUGGUUACCGUUGCCCUCAAAACCAUGUCAGAGAUACCUCUUGCAGAACUCAGCGGGAGGGUAAAUGUUUACAAUGCGGCCGCUGCAAGGUGCGUAUACGUUCAUAUUGAGCCCAUACCUUACCAUUGGUGCCCUGCAGGCUUUGGGCAGUCGCCGCCAUGCACCCACGGUGGCUGCCGUCAUGGACCGCUGCCUCGGGCUAUGCCGCGGCGCCGCCUGUGCUCCAGACGCCGCGUUUACAGCGACUGCCAGCAGCGGCAGCAGCAGCUCCGCAGAGCCCCAGCAGCAGCCGCAGCCGCAACGAGAACAGCCCCCACUGAAGGCAGAAGCACCGCUGGCGCUGGCCGCUGUGGGCUUCCUCAAGGGCCCUCUGGCGGCGCUGUCUCAGCUGCCGCCGGAGCAGCGGGCGCAGCUGGCGGCAGACGUCACCGCACUGCUGCGGGCGCAGGUCGACAUGGGCGCGGCGGCGGGAGGUGGGCAUGGCGGCAGCAGCUGCAGCAGCAGUAGCAGCCGCGGCAGCAGUGACUCGGCUGCAUCCGCAGCAGCAGGUGUGGCCGACUGCCUUGAGCUGAUGCGCGCGCUGCUUCAGCAGGAUGCCGCAGCAGUGGCUGCUGCUGUGGCCAGCAGCGCCGGCGGUGCCUCCACAUCAGCGGCAGCGUGCUCAGCCGCACUUGGGGCCGGCUGCCUGCCAGUCAUGUGCGCCGUGCUGCGGGCCAGCAGCAGUCUAGCAAACCCGCAGGAGCAGGCGGCUGCUGGCGAUGUGGGUGGUGCUGUUGUCGGCGGCAUGCUGACGCUGGUGCAGGACCUGGUGCUGUGGUGCCUGAUCAAUAUCGCCACCAUCAGCGGUAGUGUCACGACCAGCUGCAGCGCACAGCCCGCACAGCAGGGGUCGCCGCAGGCUCAGAUGCUGUCCGCAGGCGGCACGGCCCUGCUGGUGCCGCUGCUGCGUGCGCCGGCGGCUGCGAAACGCGUGCUGCAGCUGUUGAUGUGGCUGGCGGCGGCAGACGGACCGGAGGCGCAGCAGCAGAUGACAGCAGCGCUGGCGGAGGCGUGUGCGCGGUGCCCGGAGAUACAGCGGCAGUUGGUAGGGGCGGCAGGCAGCUGCGUCACAGAGCUGCAGCAAUCGUGCCCGAGGCCUGUGGCCUCCUCCCAGCAGCUGCAGCUGCUCCUGGAGUCGGUGGCGGCGGUGGUGCAGGGCCAGCCCAGUGUGGCGGCGGGGCUGCUGCUGCCGGACUGGGGCGGCCUGCCGCUGGUGCGGGCGGCGCUGCGGUGCCUGGGCGUGGGCGGUGGGGGCGGAGCCUCCAGAGCCACAGUGCCAGACAGCAGCAGUCGCAGCAGCAGCUGUAGCGGCCCAUCCACAACACCCCUGGUCACGGCGGCUCUGCGGCUGCUGCGCCAGCUGCUGCUGCGCUGCGGCCCGCCGCCGCACUCCAGCCUGCCCACGACCUACGGGGAGCUAGUGCGGGCGCUGGUGCGGCUGACUGGGUUGGAAGACGUCGACAACAGCCUCCGCCUGAGCUGCCUGCAUGCGUGCCUGGUGCGUGGCAGCGGCAGCAGCCCGUCUGGCCGCCUGCCGCUUCGGCGCGAGGCCGCCCUCAGCUUGCACGCAGCCCUUGGCGAGUGAGUGGUGGGGCUUGCGUUCAGGGAUUCUGCAAUGCAUACAUGGCAACGGGUCCGAAGUUACCCUGGUUGUCGGGUGUGUACUAGUUACGGUAGCUGUGCCCUUCAACCGGCGGACCCCACGGCGGCUUAUUACGUACGUAUGUCCCUGUGUGUUGCUGCAGUGGUGACCUGCUGGAGCAACUGGCUGCCCUGCUAGCUGUAGCUAUGGAGCGGCACAAGCAGGUUGAGGAGGCGAGAGCUGGCAGCAGCAGCAGCAGCAGCAGUGAACGCAUCAGCACCAGCAGGGCUGCCAGCAGUGACAGCCACGCAACGCAGCUGGAGCUGCUGCAGCUGACCGCCUGCGUGCUGGAUGCGGCGUGGCUGGUUGCGGCGGCGGAGGUGGCCAGCAGCAGCUCGGCAGGUGGCGCAGCGGCGGAUGCGAAUGUGGGAGCAGCUGUUGCAGGCGGCCAGGCACCGCGGCCUGCUGCUGUGCGCACACCAGCCGCUUUCGUCAUGCGGCUGGCCGUUGCUGCGGUGCCGUUCGCUGCGCGCUAUGUUCGCGACCUGCUUGCACCCACGGACUCGGCGGAGCCCCCCGCCGCCUCAGAACCCCUGCAGCUGGAGAUCUUGCUGCGUGCCCUGCACGCCGCAGUGGCCGCACUGCUGGCCACUUCGGGUGGAGCGGCGGUGAUGCGCGAGACGGAUGGGUGUGUUGCGGGCGACCUGGUCGGAGACCUCGUGCCGCUGCUGCUGGGAGUGCGGGCGCGUGCGGCUCCGGCAUCACCUGUUCCGGCUGGCAGUGGCGGCAGCAGCAGCAGCAGCAACAGCACUGUCGCAUCCCUGGCGCUGCAGAUCCUGGUGAUGCUGUCUAUGAUGGUCGACAGAAGGGAUGAGGCAUGCUUUUCAGCAGAGACCCUAUUGUGCGUGGAGCGCACCCGGAAGUUCCAUACCAUGGUGCAGCACGUGGUGGAGGAGCACGACCCCCCGCUGCCGCCGGCCGUAUGGAGCCGCCUGAUGGCGGCUGCGGUGCCGGUGGUGUGCGGGGCGCUGCCGCCACACGUGUGUGCCGUGCUGCUGGCGCCGGUGGCGGCGGAGGCGGCUGGUGGCGAGGCGGGCGGCGAGGGGAGCUGUGAGACUCAGUCGUCAGCAGCAGAGGAGGACAGCAGCGACAUUGACAUCCUCACACGCUGCCGCGAAGCCGCACGAGUCUCAGAUGAGGACUUUGUGUUCGCAGUGCUGCGGCUUGGCCUUGCCCUGGUUGGCGACGCCAGCCAUCCUGAGCAGCAACAGGCCCAGCUCGGCACGGACCACGCAGCCUGUGUGCUACUCUUUGCGCUGGGCUUUGUUCAGCAGGCGACGAGCAGCUCAGGCAGUUCUACUAGGCACACUGCCAGCCUGCUGGCGGCAGCGGCGCGCCUGCUGCGGCCGCUGGCGUCGCAGCUGCCGCGGGAGCAGCUGGCGAUGCUGGUGCGCGCCCUGACCUUGCGGGUGGCUGGCGGCAGCGGCAUGUACGGCUCCCUCGCGGCGGAGUGGCAGCUGCCGGUGCUGCUGUGCCUGGCGGCGUGUGUGGAAAACCCGCUGCUGCGUGAGAAGGACUGGCCGGAGCUGUCAUACAGGUGGGCGGGGUGCAGGGGGCGGGCCGUACAUCAUAUGUUGGAAGGGUCCGGCGGUUACAAGCGGUUACCGCACCACCAGCUUACAACUCGCGAAUCGACGCCCGCUUGCUGCCACAGGUGCUGCGGCGCCGUGUGCGACCACCUGGUGGAAGAGAUCACGGGCCUGCCGGACAGCAGCCUGGUGCGGGGCGGCAAGGCACAGCAGCGCCAGCAGCCACAGCAGCAGGAGCAGCAGCAGCGGGCGGACCGCUUGCUGCUGCUCAGGCUGGCCUGCCGCUGGUGCCAGCGCGCGGCGCCGCGGCAUACUCUCGUGCCUAGCUUAAAUCAGCAGCUGCAGCAGCUGGCAAGCGUGAUGCUGCGGGCGGCACUGCAGUCCGCGGCGGCAAGCCAGCCGCCGACUGCUUCGGCUUGCCCCCCAGCUGCUGCUCCUGCUGCGGCCCUGUACUGCCUGGCCGAGUGCCAGCUGGCGGUGUGUGAGGGGCCGCUGCCAGCCCUGCACGGCGCUCCCCCUCCACCGCUGCUGGGACUGCAGAGGCGGCGGGCAGGCGGCGCCAGCAGUGGGGCGGCGGCGGCGGCCGAUGCAGAAGAGGCGGCGGACCGGAUGAUGGAGCUGGCCAUGCAGGUGCAGCGGGCCACCGCAGUGCUCGCUGAGCACCUCCCAAUCGAAGAUCUGGGCAGCAGCGGCAGCAGCGGCGGGGUCAGCAGUGGCGGUGGCAGCAGCGGCGGCACGCGCGCUGCUGCGGUGCAGCAGCCGUUCCCCGGUGUCCAGCUGCUGCUGCGGGCGGUGGUGUGUGGUGGGCGCUGGGCGGCGCACCUGUCGACCCUACAGCAGCACGCGCACGAGGCCAAGGUGUGUGUGUGUGUGUGUGUGCGUGUGUGCGUGUGUGCGUGUGUGCGUGUGUGCGUGUGUGCGUGUGUGCGUGUGUGUGUGUGUGUGUGUGUGUUAAAGAGCACAAGGAAAACAUUACGCGUAGGACAGUGUAUGCGAUGCAGAAUGUGUGUGUGUGUGUGUGUGUGUGUGUGUGUGUGUGUGUGUGUGUGUGUUU
rnacentral:lncRNA from 1 species